UCGGAGCUCUAUCAGUGAAGCUUACACCGGAAGAGAUGGCGGAGCUCGAAUCGAUUGCUUCUGCAGACAAUGUCAAGGGUGGCAGGUACGAUGGAAACCUCUCUACAUGGGAAAACUCCGACACUCCACCCCUUUCUUCUUGGAAACCUGCCUAGAAACAUGUCUACUUCUUUUGCUGCGUCUUUGAUAUGCAGAGUUUGUGCAUUUGCCGCUGAAGUAAUUUGAGGCUAUGUUGUGUGGCUUUUAUAAGUAUGUGUAAUAAGAGUGACUGUUUUCGUUUUGUACAACAUGUGACAUUCACUAUGAGAAGAUUAUGGAUAUGUACUAAGCUUACUGGGGAAAGAUCACUCGAUAAACACAAGAGCGAGUUGAAUAUGAACUGAGCCUGCCAUGCCGACUUUAUCGGGGUGACUUUUAGAAUCUGAGAAAUCGGGAUUUUGAAGAAUUCAAACUCAGUCGUACAUACUAAGUGACGCUUUAUUCUCCUCCAACCAUGAGUUCAAUACUAACACCGUGUGCAACAUACUCUUAAGACUGGAUGCUACACAUAGAUACAAUGCUUCGCUUUGUGUUUGGUUUGGUAGCGAAGUAAAGGAACAGUAAAAUGUUACCGGAUGUUCUCGCAAAAACAAAGUUUGGGAUAAAAUGCUGGCGUAGUUGAUAUGAGUGUCGGGGAAAUCAAAGGUUUCUUGUUCAAGUUUCACCACCUACGGUGCAUGAGCUUUUAUGUAGCUCGAUACCUUUGCUCAUGCCUCUGCAUUAUUAUAAAACAGUCGGAGAUAUUGCGCAAGUUUCCUAAAAUUAAAAACGACACUUCUAUUGUUUUUUAUUUGGAAUUAGAGUGGAGCAAUGUUGUUUUGUUUUGGUUUAGGAAAAUAACGCAAAUAGUCAUUAAACUUUGGUCCAAUGUGUUAUGUUCUUACUGAACUUUUAAUUUAUUUAGUAUGGUUGUCGAACUUUUUGUACAUGUUUAAUUUAGAUCCUAGGCUAGAUAAAUCUAAUGACGCUGUGUUUGGUCGUUCGAACAUCUUUGCUAUAUGGGAUAAUGAUAGGAUAAAAAUCCCAUCUAAUAUUUCUUGACGUCCGGAUAUAACAUGAUUCAAAUAAAACAAAUUUAAAUGAGUGUUUGAUUUGUAUAAUUAAAAUUAAAAGUAAACCAUGGAAGUCGUGAAUAGUAUUCAUCCUUUCACAAUCUUCAUCGAUAUUAAACACCCCCGUUCCAUGUGACUUCAAGGACGCUCUCCUUCUGCAACGCCCCUUUCGCUGCCCUUGAUCAACUUGAUGGAUUACGCUCGCUCUACCUUUGACUUCGCCACAUUGAGAGGCCCUUGGGUUUGAGUUCUCCGCUGGUCUAGCCAUCUUUACUUUCAACGCCUUUUCCUGCGAUGAAUCCAUCCCCUUCGAUGAGUGUGAAUACUGCGUUGAUUCCCUGUUACCGUGUCCCGACUUGUUCAGUCACUUCAACAGCUUCCCCGAGACAGCGUGCGGAUCCGGUUUAUGAGUGGUAGCAGCAUCGGUACAACUCGCUCCAAGUGACGUGGUUGAGGAGCUCUAUCACCUUGGCUGCUGCCUCUUUCGGAUCAUCUUCUUCACAGAGGAGGUGUCCAGCUUUGAUCGGGAUCACAAAGUUCCCAACUAAAAUGGAGUUAAGUGACAUAAGAAAGAGGCAGGGCUGACGAGCUCCGGCGCCACUUUUCCGAGGCAGCCAAAGGUGGUAAGCAGCUUGUCACUGGUAGGAGGAACGGUGGCCCUUAGAGUUUGCUCAGGUCGUUGUGGCGAGGGCUUCUCUAGGUAUCUUCGUGAUACUCAUGCUUUAAGUUUGUGGUGGUCAUUUUAGCGAGAAAAAUCGGAACGAGAGAGAGAUGAUGGUGGCACUGGUAAAAAAUGAGGAUAAGCCAUCAACAAGCGCAGGAGUGGGGGAAAAACUUGUAUCCCUUAUUUUUUCAAUUUUCCAAAUUUCACAUAUCCUAUCUAGAUCUAUAUCACUUUUUAGAUGGGAUUUUUUAUCCAGACUAUAUCUAAAUUUCACUAACAUCGGGACCCCUAGAGUGCCAAAAGUUUGCACAAAAAGACAAUUAAGUGUCAAAAGUUAUGAAAAUGACACUUAAGUGCUAAAAUUGGAAUAAAAUAGAUCACUUAAGUGCAAAUCUGGUCAAAAUAUUGACAUGACAAUUUUCCAGCAAAACAAGUGCAAAACGGUGUCGUUUUGGUGCUGACAUGGAAAAAAUUAAUACAAAAAUUAAUUAAAUGAAAUUUAAAAUUAAAUUUAAUUAAAACAUUUAAAAAUAAAAAUACAAAAAUUUUAAAAAAGGAGAGAGGCGGUUGAGGGCUGAGCCCUUGUCGCUAGGAAGGGUCGGAGAUGGAGGGGGGAGGGUUAGCCGGGGUUGCCGGGCCCUAGGCCAGGGGCCGGCGACCUCGGCCAACUGGUGGCAAGGGCCCGCGAGCCCUCGCCUAGUUUUGGGGCGAGGGUUGCGGCCCUCACCUAGUUGAGCCAAGGGCCGCCGAUCCUCGCAGAAUCUGGGUGAGGGCUGCAACCCUUACUAGAUUUGGGCAAGGGCUCGUGAGCCCUCGCUGCCGGUUAGUUGGGGUCGCUGGCCCCUAGCUAGGGCUCAGCGACCAUGGUUGACCCUCCCCCCUCCGUCGUUGACCCUUCACGGUGACGACAGCGAUGGCUCAACCCUUAGCUACCUCCCCUCCCCCCCUCUUUGUCUCUCUGUCUCUGUCUCUCUCUGUCUAUAUAUAUAAAUAUUUAUGAUUUUUUAAUACUUGUAUUUGUAUUUUUAAAUGUUUUAAAUAAAUUUAAUUUUACAUUUAAUUUAAUUUACAUUAUUUUUUUACCAUAUUAACACCAAAACGACGUCAUUUUUGCAUUGUCUAGCUACGACAGUGUGCAAAAUGAUGCCGUUUUGCACUUACUUCGCCAGAAAUUGCGUACAUCAGAGCCAUGAUUUCGUUUGUAAUAAUAUCCGUUCCAUAUGCUUAAUAGGUGAAUCCAAUGCUGAGAAGGUUUCUUCACAUCAUGACAGAUCUAGAAAUACUAGAAGCAUCUGUUUCUCUUACUGCAUCUCCAUCUUUUUCAACCCCUUCAGAUUUUCAUGUUUUAAAUGCUUCUAAGAUAUACUAUCUCUAUGAAAUCUCUCUUAGCGAUGAAACCAAAAUCUCUGAAACUUAACUUUCCCUGAUGAACUCAUAUUUUGCUUUUGCUAAACCCACCUCAUCCUUUUCUCCCAUUCGUUCCAUUCGCCAACUUAUUCGCCAAACUCCAAAGGAAGUAAAUGAGUACGUUAAGUCCUUCAAGUUCGACCAACAUCCCAUUCUCGCCAUUGAAAAUGAGUACUUUGUUACUCUCUAGAUUCCUCCAGAGUUUCCUAGGCAAUAGAUUCAAAAAGGAUAGUCUCAUGUCCAUUAUGGAGUUGUUCGUCUUGCUCUUACUUUUUAUGGCCGCAAGGGCUUGCCAGUUGUGGCAAGAAUAGCAUUACUGGAUACUAGAUUUCUAAAGUACUAGUAUACUUGUAUCAGUACUAUCCAAACCACUUUAAAUGUUGGAAUAGUUUUUGUGACUUUGUAUCCAAAUUUCAAUUUGCUCUUUCAAAUCCACAGUUACUUUCCUUUUUGAAAGUCUAAGUUUAGCUCACUGGAGCACCUCAGACAGCUGAUUCUGUUGUUGCAACACUACACUACUAGAUCGUUUAUUAAGUGCAGAACCAUGCUCUUGACUUGAAUUUCCACAAUGAAAAUGAAGAUGCUUUAUUCAUCUCCAUGCAAAAUGAUCAUGCAUCCUGCAUUCAUGUUCCCAGACAUAUCCCAAAGGAAAAGUUGCCAAGCUUCUUCUAGAGACUUGGAUCACUAACUAUGAAAAGUUACAUCAGAAUAACAAACCUUUCUAGUCUUCAGACUUUGAAUUUGUCAGAAAGAAAGAUGGAACUGUUUCCAUCAAAUUUGGCAAGGAAAAUAAAGAAAUUCUUUUUAUCUUCCAAAUCCUCUUUAUGAUCGAACCAUGUGUUCCGAGCUAGAUAAAAAAAAAAGAAGCUUGUUUAAUACUUCAAAAGUGAUUAACAUCAUGUCCAUUACUACAAAGACUAGUAUGGUCACUGUUUCUAAGAUCCUUUUUGUCAAUGUUCUUUUUGCACAAACUCUCCCGACGAGGUAGACCCAUAUGCAAGACCUCGACGGAAGCAUAAGAAGCCAAAAGAUCCUAUGUACCAAAGGUACUUGAAUGGAGAUCCCUCCGUUGAUACUCUUGGUGAGUGUGAUAAAUUCUAGUUUAUGGUUUCCUAUACACCAACUCCACCACCAGAGUUCAUUACUCCACUAAUAUCACCAAGUUCAUCACCAUCACCUCCUCCAUCUCCUCCAAAAAAAAAAGAAAACCAACUCUUUCCCCAUUUUAUAAGCCAAUCUUAAAGUGGGCGAAUAAAUAUUCCUACCCACUUGAGGCUCUAGCAGAACACCACCAAGUUCUUUCAUAGCCAUGUUCCAUGAGACAUACUUUCCUCUUUUUAUUCGAGAAAGUUAUAAUCUCGUUUCCUGCUCCAAAAGAAUUCAUUGAUCUACAAGGCAGAUAUCGGCAUGCCCCUAAGAUACCUACCCCCACUGAUGUGGAUGGACAUGGAAGAUAGAAAAGGACUCCUGUUGUUGAAGCUGUCCUAAAUUGGCAAUCGGAAACUCUUUUAGCAUAUAACAAUGCGUUCAAAGCAAUUGAUUCCAAGAUUGUAAAUGUGCAACAAGAUUUUCGAAAUAUGAUGAAACCACCAAGAAGAUGCUUUCAGAUUUCCAAAAGAGGCUUCAUGCCUUGGAAUCUAGAUAACAUUUAGGGUGUCAUCAUCUCGAAAGUCCUAAGGUGGAAAUAGAGAAGCUCAAAAGGCAAAUUCAACUCCUUGAAGAAGGAAGAUUCAAUCCAUUUCCGACUACUUUGCGGACAGAGCAUCCCCCUCUUCCACUAGCCCAUAACACAUCUAUCUUUGUUGCUAUCACAGAUGUUCUUGUUAGGCAAGAUAAGACAAAUGUGGCUGAAAUGCGAAAUCUUCUCAAAGAACUGGACUGAAUAAGAAAAGAAAAGGGAAAAGAGAAGAUGCCUAAAGAAUCCUUGCUUGUCAUAAGGAAAAAGCCAGAUCAAUUGAUGCUGUCGAAUCUAUUAGAAUCUUUCCGAAGAGAUUUGGGUAAUCAGGAAUCACAGUCUGAUCUUGUUACUCAACAUCUUGAUCCCGUCAUUCCAACAGAUCAGAUUCUAUUUUCAGCAGAACUAGCUUUUCCAAAUAUCUUUGAUACUGAAUUAAAUUCGGUAUCCCUCUUGUCCUCCUCAUCCUUCUCAAUCCCUACCAUUGAUUCCUUCCCUAUUGUACUAGUAAUUUCAUCAAUAUUCAUGAUCGAUCAUCCGGACCAAGAUAUGGAAUCAAACCAUUCUGAACCAAAGGUUGUUUAGCCAAACAAUCCCUCCCAGCACGUGUAUUUUGCAUCAAAAUAGUUUAUUUAUUUAUUUAUUUAUCGUUGAUGACAUUCCCUAUCACAAAUGGCCAUAAAGACUUGAAGAAUUUCAUACUUGGUUAAAUACCCAAACCCUUACCAACCAGGAUAAGUAUGAUGUCAUUUUUGAUUUUGUCACAAGGUUUACAGGUAGCCUCAAAUAUUGGUGGCAAUCUGUGUUAGAACAAGACCGGCUUCAAUUUUUACUCUCACUUGAUUUUGGUCAUGCCAUUAUCCUUCUAUAUCAUUUCUUUGUGGGAAAACCUUUUGACCUCCAAGAGCUUAAAAGGAGAGAAUUUUUCGAAAGAAGAUGCUGCUUCUUCCAGAAAAAAACAUCUUGAUAAAUAUUAUCGAGAAAUGUUUAAGCUCUUCUAUGGUAUUGGAGCUGAUCCAAACCAGAAACGCAUCUUCUUGACUUCCAUCCCCAAAGAAUUGUCUCAAUAGGUGGAGAGAACUUUUCUCAGCAAACAAAGAAGGAUUCAGGAUAUUCCGUUAGGAGAAAUCUAACAAGAAAUUCAUUUGUGCCUUGAAGAAUUGUGUAUCAAAUGCCAAAUGAUCCAGACUUAUGUCGACAAUAACAGAGAACUUGAUAUAGCAUGUUCUCGCCAUAAGCUAAAGAUCAAAUGUUCAAAGCGAGAUUGUGAUGGUUCUUGCGGAAAAUUUUCCAGAAAAAAGCACUUCAAGAAGCUCUGGAUAAUGAAAUCUAGGCGUGGCUCUAAGCAUUUUUGAAGAAAGAAGAAAUGGCGACACCUAUGCAAAAGGAAAGAUCACUCAGGCCACAAGAAGUCAAAUCAAUGCUUCAUCUGCAAUUAGAAAAGACAUUUUGCCAAAAAUUAUCCCCAAGCGAGAAAAUGUCAAAAUCAUAUGAUAUAUCAUAUAGAGAAUGAAACAGGUAAUUCUCUUGAAAAUGAUAAUAUCGAAUCUUUAUUAUCUGAGAAUGAAGAACCAUCUGAAUAAACUCUUUGUGUCAUUCCUUGUUACGAAACUUCUAGUGAAAUUGAUUCGGAUUCAAAUCCUGAAGAUAUUUUUCACAUAUCUCUCACUUCUUCAGAAUAAAGCACUAACAUAUUUUCAAGCUAAAUUCAUUGUCCCCAUUUCCCUGUGAAAAUCUUCACUUCAAAGUUUGCCAAGCCUUUCAUUGUCAUUGCUCUCAUAGAUACUGGAGCAAGUUCUUCAAUCUUGGACACCAAAGUUAUUCUUGAAGAAUAUUGGACUUCCUAUGUUUGAUACUUCAAUUCUACCUCAGGAGAUACUUUUUCUACGAAUGUAAGAACUACCCUAGUAAUCAUCUAAUUUUUUCCACAGUGUUCCAUAACCAUAAAAAUCUCUGGUUCCAGUCUUCCCCACAAGGAUUUGAUCAUUGGCUGGGAUAUCAUGACUAAAAUUUCUCAACUUCGUAUCAUUUCUAGAAAAUGUCUUAAGUAUAAGGACUAAUUUUCUAAAUUCGUCAAUAUCCAAAGACUUUUUUUCCAUCCAAAUGAGCCUGCUAGACCCCAUCAUGCAAAAGUUGUUAAAAUCAUGUUUGGAAUUUCAUUUUGAAUUUGCUCAAAAAUGUUCUCACCCUCUAUGGGAAAAUUUAGAGUUCUUUGUUUGCCUUCCUUUUUUAAAAAAAAAUGAGGAUAUCAAUCUAAACAAGGCGAGUUACAUGGGAAUGAAGUCAGAACACUUGGUUUUAACUCAAAGGGAAUGUUCGGAACUAUUGCAGCAAUGCCUUAUUGAAAUCUCCAAUUCUCAAUGGGCCUGUGAAGCUUUUUUAUGUCAAUAAGCGUGCCGAACAAAAUAGAGGAAAUAUGAGAAUGGUAAUUAACCAUCAGCCUCUUAACAUUUUUUUCCAAGAUGAUAAAUUCCCUUUACUCUCCAGAAAUUCCCUAUUUACUAGAUUAUCCAAAGCCCAUAUUUACUCUAAAUUCAAUCUCAAAGCCAGAUUUUGGCAAUUGUGCAUCCAUCCUAAAUACAGACCCAAGAUAGGGUUCUGUAUCAUGAACCAACAUUUCCAAAUGGAAAGUUAUUCAUUUUGGUCUAAAGGUGGUACUAUCCUUAUUCCAAAAGGUCAUGUGUCGAAUUUUCCAACUAAUUUUGUCAAGUGCAGUAAUAUACAUUGACGAUAUCGUGCUUUACAAUCUUAAUGAGCAGUCACACUGCCAACUUCUUAAACAGUUUGUAGAAAUUGUGUAAAAGCAUGGGAUCAUGCUUUCUCAAAAAAAGAUGAACAUUGUCCAUAUAUAAAUUGAAUUUCUUGGUAUGACCUUAACAAAGGUAUGUAUUAUCCAUGGCCAUAUAUUGCUCAUGAAUUGUUGAAAUUUCCUGAGGAAAAUUUCACAACAAAGCAAGUUCAGCAAUUUCUUGGAAUAAUUAAUUAUCUCAAAGAUUUCGUUCCAAACAUUGCAGAACUGUUGAUUCCAUUGAAAUUGAUGCUGAAAAAGAAUCCCCCACCUUGGAGAAAAUCUCAGACUAAAGCAGUCGUCGAACUUAAGGAGAUUAUGUAGACUCUUCCUCUGUUACAAAUCCCAUCGAUAAGGAAGAUAAUUCUCUAGAUCGGCGCCAGUGAUGAAUACUGGACAGCCAUCUUGUUUGAAGAAAUUGAUGGUAAGAGACAUCUGUGUACCUAGAAAAGUGGAAAAUUUUCCCAAGCUGAAAUGCAUUAUCAUUCCACUUUCAAAGAAAUCUUGGUGAUGAAAAAUGGAAUAAAAAAGUUCGAAUUCCAUCUCAUUGGCCAUCACUUCAUGGUAAAAUUGGAUAUCCUCAGAUGAUCAAGUUCAAACAGAAGCAGAUUUCGAAUUUUCAACUGCUUCAAUGGGCUGAAUGAUUUUCAAAAUACUCUUUUGAAACCAAACAUAUUGCCGGAAAAAAAAAUGUGCUUGCUGACUUCUUGUCAAGACCAAAAGCACCAGUAAAAAUCAACAUGUACAUCAUGAGGCAUGCUUUUCAUAUUCUUCAUAACAAUGAAAAGUAUAAGAUUGAAAGAAUACAAGACUAGUCAAGCUGGCAAUAUUACUAGGAGAUUGUGGAACAAAUCUAGAAUGACUGCCUUAUUGAAAAUUUGGAUAAUCUCAUGUGGCAAUUCCACACAGAUCUGUUUAGAUUUAAUGGGGGUUCGAUUCUUUAUCUUUUUAGAUUAAAUUCAGACUAUCCGUUCAUACAUCCUUUAAUCUGGAAGGAAGAUAAUUUCCCUGACCAACUUCGAUGGUUAUUAUGGUACUUAACCAAUAAGUACUGAAUAGUAUUGAAAUUCCAACUAGAAGAUUUAUUACCAACCUCACUAGGAUAUUUAGACUUGGCAGAUGAAACAUUGAAAAAGAGAGUGACAGAAAUCUCAUAGGUUUCCUUAAUUGGUUUUAUCCCUCUACUCACUGGAAAUACCUCUUGCAGAAAGAGCUGAGAACCACACAACUAAACCCUGAGGUCCAUAUUAUUUUGUUUUUUCGACGACCGUGGGCUUUUGUCACAAAUAAUGGUAGCAGUAGCAAUGCCCCCCAAAUUAUAGGUACCACAUCCUAUAAACCUCAACCACAUAGUGUAGAAGCUCAGAUUUACAAAUCUUAUUUAGAACCCGUUGGUUGCUACGAGCACCAGUAUCGAGAACUCCAAAGGAUUUUGUACUAGGAAAAUAAAAUCAUUCCUAAAGAUGCAUGGAACUAUAAUGUACCCACUGUAUGAGAUUAUUAUAGUCUCACACUAGAAGUUAAGGAAGCACUCGAAAUAUUCAGACAAGUUACAUCAUCACAGGAGCAUGAAAUGGCAGACACAGAUGACAUCGCACAGUCCUCUCAAGAUCCCUAUGUCAAAUGGGGAGGUCCUCUUUCUCAAGAUCCCUAUGACCAAGAAACUUUGUCCUUAUCUCAAAGCAUUGACACAUCCUACUAUACUCAGUCAUCCAAUUGGUCUCAGCUAAGCAUUCUUGCCAACACUACAGGCUCCUCUUAGAAUCAAGCGAAAGCAUCCUCGUCAAAUCAAAUUCUCUCACCAGAUUCACUUGUAGGACUUGAGAAAAAAAUAUGAAGAAUAGCUUAUGUCAAUGUAUAGUUCGGACGACUCAGACUAUGACUAUAAUGCUCGUGAUGGACGAGACUAUUGACCGUACAAGUCACUGUAGCAAGUCACUUUUCACUUUCAUUGUAGCAGUAGACUAGGGAAAUAACUGUUCAUUAUCAAUGUUCAUAUCGUGCGAAUAAUCUCCUAUGCCUUUAUUUGUUUCAAGAUUGUGAGAAUGAUCCUUGUUUAUGUGUGACCUCUUAUUGCCUAUAAAAGACAAGAAUGAUGUAAUGUGUUGGGCAGAGUCCCUUGAAGUAAAGUGAGUAUUUUGUGUAAAACUCUCUAUGGCUUUAUAAACUUAUCUUCUUCUCCAGUCUGGUAGGAUCAUUUGAGAAAUGUAGUUCGGAUAGUUAGAAAUGUUACCAUCCUGGUUCUAUAUGAGUGUUUCUAGACUCUGAACUAAAGGGAAGAGUGGUUUUAUGUUAAAAGGCUGUCUCUGAAGGGCUUGAACGGAAGAGGUUCACCUACUGUGGGGUAUGCCAACUUUUGGCACUUGAAAUAAUCUUUUGCCGAAUUUCACGUUACUCUAAACACCGGAUAUGAUCAAACUUUUACUAUCAAAGUUUUAUCUAGCCCAUCAAAGGCAGUCUUAUGAGAUAGGAUGCAAUGAUAUAAUCUAUGAAUUAGAUCAAACAUUUAUUAAAAGUUUAAGAACGAUAUUUCAUUUUUUGAAUGUUAGGAUGCACGAGUAAGUUAUGUUAAAACAAUCCCACAAUAUAUUGAUAGCUUUGAAAUAAGGCUUUCUCUUGGUGAUGACGAAGAUCCAUAUGGAGAAAUUAAUGGGAGGGUUUGUUUGGCCUAACUAAAUGAGAGGCUAUAUCAGUGGGAGGUUUUUCAUUGUAACCUUGUGCUUGGUAUUUGUAUUUUAGUAAAGGAUUUUGUUAGCAUAAUAGUUUCUGAGUUAUUGUGAGAAUAACAACUUAUUAUGAGUUACAAAAUUUUCUCUUUCUUUUUUUCUUCACUUCCUUCUCCUUCCUCCAACCAAUCAUCACUAGUGAUUGGCAAGAGGCAAGGUUGGUGAGGUACCUCGCUGGUCUCGAGGAAGCUUGACCAUGGUUAGGCAACCUUGCUCAUGGCUAGGCGACCUCGCCUAGGCCGCCAACUGGGCUGGUGAGGGUUGACCCUCGACGGCCAUGGGUGAGGACAAAUGCCGCUAGUUGGGCUUGCGAGGCUCGCCCUUAUUGAAUUUGGCGAGAGUUGAGUCUCAUUGGCCAUGGGUAAGGUCAAAGGCCGUGACCUCACGUGGUCUUUGGUGAGGCUUGCCAAAGGUUGGGCAAGGCUCACCGUCGUUGGACUGAUGAGGGUCGAGUCUCGUCGGCCAUGGGUGAGAUUGCAACUUGCCCAUGGCCGGCGAGGUGAGCCUAGGCCAAAGGCAGGCGAGACCUUGCCUAACCAUGGCGAGGGUGGCCUCACCAUUGUUGGGUGAGGCUCACCCUUGCUAGUGGUGUGUGGGGGUAAGCCUUGCCAUUGGUUGGCGAGGCUAACCUUGCUGGCUUGAGUAAAAUAAAAUAUUAUUAAAAGAUUAUCUACAUCAAUAUUAGUUGGACGAGCGGUGUUGGUCGGCCAAAAUUUCUGAAUGAAUUGAAUAGUAUAAUUGCAAAAUGUUUGGGAUUGAAUUGGCUAAAAAAAAAGGUCUAAGUUUGAAUUGGAAAAAUUACAAUAAGUUUAUGAUUGUUUUGGUACGUCCUCCCUAUAUGGGAAGGAUCGUGACUAUGCUUCAAUUGAUGUAAGCAAGUGCAUCUUCACAGCCACUACCGCUCCCCUCCUACUCUUUGUAGCUUAUGCUACUCCCCUCUUAUAAAUCUCGGCUCGCCUGACGCCUUCGCCAUUGUGUAGGGAACGAGCGAGCUCGAGCUAGACCACAGUAAUGGCGGCAUCGACAAUGACGAUAAGGAGGAUCAAGUUGGGGUUGCAGGGCCUGCAGGUGUCGGUGCAAGGGCUGGGCUGCAUGGGCAUGUCCGCCUUUUACGGGCCACCCAAGUCGGAGCCCGACAUGAUCGCCCUCAUCCACCAUGUCGUCGGCUCUGGCGUCACCUUCCUUGACACCUCCGACAGCUACGACCCCCACACCAAUGAAAUCCUCCUUGGAAAGAUCGGUUCUCUCAGUCUCUGUUUUGCCUUCGCAUGAACUAUAUGUGCUUAUAAUGUUACGGAAUGUAGCUUCAUCGAGCAGAGUGCUUUGAUCCUGCGCCUUGGUUUUCUGAUUUCGGGGUUGAUUUUGAGCAGGCACUAACGGGAGGGGUGAGGCAAAAGGUGGAAUUGGCGACCAAGUUCGGAAUCAGCUUCGCGGAUGAGAAGAAAGAGGUCCAGGGCGAUCCGGCAUACGUGAGGGCGGCUUGCAAUGCCAGCUUGAAGCGACUUGACAUCGAUUGCAUCAACCUCUACUACCAGCACCGUAUCGACACUCGCGUCCCCAUUGAAGUCACUAUAUGGAUCCCUUAUCAAACUUUCACCUCGCUUGAGACUUUCUCCGAGCCAUAUGAUUAGUUGCUAAAUUAGAUUGGUGUUGAUGAUGCAUCGUCAUGUUGUUACAAGUUUGUUGAAUUUUGUUAAAUGACACUUAAGUUCAGCUGAUAGCAAAGCUCAAGAUGCGGCACGGUGUUGUUCAGGGGUUGUGGAAUUUAGUAGUUUAAUGGCUUGAGUUUUCGUUUUGUGGGCAUCCUUUACAAGUUAAGGGUCAACAAGCAUGAAAAUCAUUCGAAAUCUUCCUUACCUUUGAGAUGAAAGUGCUCCGGGGUUCAUCCUGAUUUUUUUUUUUUUUGGUGGUGAAAGUAAGUAAUUGUAUUAAGCUUUGCCAACUAUACAAGAUGAAAUCUUGGCACCAAAACUUGCACUCAGAAUGACAUGACGUCAAUGCGAGUGGAAGGAUGCUGAGAUGAAAAAUAGCAAGCAAUAAACGGUGUUGACACCUAAAUUUUGGCGAUCCGAUUAUUUAUUUAUUACAUAAAAAUUAUGGGUCAAUUUGUCUCUUAAAAAAUAUUAAUUACAUAUAGAUUUAGGUGCAUUUAUUUUUAAUUUAAUUUUUUUGUAUUUUAUUGGAUCGAUGGUGGAUGGAUUCAAAUUAAUGGUUAUGAAUUUUAAAUUGACAAAUCGAACUAAGUUCACGAAUAUAAGAAAUUGGCGCAAGCCCGUAUUUGAAAAAAUUCUAUUGUAAUUUUUGAAAAAUCAAUAGAAAACAUUCAUUUUUGCAAAGGAAAUCAAGAAGAGCUGUGGAAAAUAAAAAGUGAUAUUACGUGCGGAAAAGAAAUCUUUGCAGAUGUUGAUUUAAAAAGGAAAUUAAAAUCCUAAUUUUUGGUCUAUAAAAAAGUAACUUAGUAUAGGGUUUUGGGGAGGCUACACAUGGAAUACACAGCCAGUGGAGGGCGAAAUUCGAAAAAAUUUGGAGAGCAAACGCGAGGGGGCUUUUUCCUUCGGUUGAUUGGAGUUGAGAAUUCAAGAAAAAAGAAGAAGAAAGAAUUCGUUUGUUUGUGAAAAAAGGCAGCAAAAGUGUGCAGAAAAAAAGGAAGAGACAGAGACGGGACAGGGAAGAGUGAUGUGAGAGAGAGACGUGGAGUAGAAUAAAAAAGAAAAAAGAAAGUAAAAACAGGGAAGACUGUUCAUCCUCGCAAGCGCCUCAACCGCUGUCGCCGAUCCCUUUCGCCCGCACCGGCCCGCGACCUGCAGCCGCCGCGCUCCGUCGCCGCCUCACCCGAGCCGCCGACCACCACCGCUCGCUGCUCACACUACCGCUGUCCCGAUCUGCCCGCUCGAGCGUCCCUACGCCGGCAGAUCUGAGCUGCUCGCCACUCCACCGCCGCGCGAGUUCCCGCACCGGUCCGCGCCUCCUCUGCUGCUCGUGCCGUGCCACCACCAGGGUUCCUCUCGCUCGCGAGCUCGCACCGCCGCCCCGCUGUGCUGAUCCGCGACGACCCGACGCUCCGCUGCUGCUGCUGCUGCACCUUCGCAGGUCACCCCACCAGCACCACCGUUCGUCGCCCUGGCUGUAGGCGCGACGACUCGACACCGCCUCUGCUCAGUCACUCCUUCACCCGCUCCUGCUGCAGCACCAGUCGCUGCAACCUCCGCCGUCGCUCUUGCAUCCGACCCGACGCCAGCAGCAACGAUCCAGAUCCGGCGCCUGCUGCAGCCACAGCCCGACGCCGCUCCUCUGCCCGCGACCCAAGACCGGACGCCCAGGUCCGACGCCCUGCAGCUCCCUCUCUGAGUGACUCCCGCGACUUCCCUCACCGGAGCAACCCACCACGUUGCUGCUUCGCUUGAAAAAAAGAAAAAGAAAAAGAAAACAAAAAAAGAAAAAUCAAUUUAGGUAAUUUUUCCUUUUAUUUAUCUAUCUUAUUUUAUUAUUUUUGUUAUUUAACUUUAUUUGUUCUUUUUCAGUAUAAUUAUUCCUUAGUGUAAGGAUGAGAUGUUCGACAUGAAAUAGCCUGUGAAAUUUGUGAUUGUCAGUCCGAUUUUCACGCCUAAAAUCCGACUUGCAAUCACUUAAAAAAAAUCGCUAAUCCGAUCUUCCGCCUAAGAUUCAAUUCGCGAUUUAUGUGAAAUUGACCAACUCGAUUUCAUGCGCGAGAUAUAAUUCGUCAAUUUGGAUAUCAUCUUGCUCCGAUUUGUUGUCGUGUCAUUUAAUUAAAUUUGCUUUCAUAAAAAAAAAAUGUAGGUUAGAAUUAGGUUUAUUCCCUAUUUUAGGGUUUACAUAUUUAAAAUAUGAAUUUUAUUUCGAAUUUUUUUUUAAAAAAUAAUAAUAAAUUAAAAAAUCAAAAAUCAAAUCAAUUAAUUUAGGUUGCUAGUUUUUUUUUUUUUUUUUUAAAACUUGGAUUGCAUGUUUAAUUGUUUGGCAAUUAUUAAUUUCGAAAUUAAUAAAACAAAAACGCAACAAAAAAUCAUCAUGCAUAUGUCAUAUAGAAUUAGGGCAUCUUUUGUAUGUCAUUGCAUAUUAGGGUAAAAUUGCUAAUAUUUUUCUUAAUUUAUUAUAAGUUUAGGUAUUUUCUUAGAUAGAUUGCAUUUUAGGAUUGCUUGGGUUAGGAUAAUAUUCUAAUUUAAAUUAGGAUUUGGCUUAACCUAAUUCCUAAUACAAAUUGAAUAGAAUCUUAAUCUAGUUAGAUAAUUUUCACAUUUAAUCUAAUUUCGAAUUUCAUGAAAAAUACAAAAAAAAAGUCUUAGAAUAAAUUGGUUUUAUUCUCUAGGAUAAAUUGCAUUCUCUUUAAGGAAAAAAGAAGAAAAAUAUCAUGUGCAUGCCAUAUAAGAUUAGACUCAUGAGAUGCAUACCAUUUAGUGAUUGUUGCUAGUCCAUUUAAUUAGAAAUUGCAUAUCAUUAGAAUUAGGUCAUUUAGUUAUAUUGCAUUGCAUAUUAUAUGAUUUUCAUUAAAUAAGUGAAAAUAAAGAAAUUGCGUAUUGAUUAGAAAUUAUAUUUAAAACCGUCGAUGUGAAUUUUGAUAUAACAUUGUAGAUGCUUUCGUUGCUAUGAAAUGACUAUUACAAUUUAUUCAUUAUUUAUCUGGGUGUUAAAUUGGUGGUUUGCGCACUCAUAUGAUCACUUCAUAUGUUAAAAAAAUAGAUUUAAAAUCAAUCCAAAUUGCAUGUAAAAACAUUUUUGAAAAUAAAAAGAAGUGGUACCGAAAGGGUAUUAGAGAAUCUAGCAUAAUUAAGUCUCUGAACUCAUAAAUCUCUAAUUCGUAGGAGUGAAGUAAAUCUCCCGUUACUUUAUUUGAAGAUUAAUGGCGACUCCUAACUGAAAUAUCGUUUGUAUGUUAAGAACUUAAACCCAAGUUGCAAAUUGGUAUGGCUUGGGAGAGCUUGAGUUAGGUCUAGGCUUAACAAUUCAUUAGCCAAACCUUAGGUGAUACACACCUGAAAAUUUGGUCGCGACAAAUGGUAACAGCCACCACACAGCAAAGAAGAGCCAAACAACGGCCACCACUAGCAACCAAAGCAAAAAACAAAAGGCAACCGAGGGAUCAAACAGACGCAGCCAGAUCACCCCAAGCACCAAACCAAAAAGGGAAAGGCACAGUUCAAGCGUCCCAGUUGAGAGAAGCCGUGACCGACACGAACCAGGGGAGGAGGAAUCUUCAGUGAAACAGCCAACCCCAAGGACCUCGGCGGUAGCUCAGCACAAGAAUGUCCACCCUAGAAGGGUAUCCAGUUAGAAGGAGAUGGAUGAUGGAACAACCAUUCUCAAGGAUCGAACUCGCCGCUGAAAUAGCAGCUACAUGGAAAUCAGCUUCGUAGAUUUGAUCAAGAAUCACCUAAAGAGAAAACAAUCGGAUCAAUGCCCCAGGCACGCUGGAGUAUCCUGUUCCUCGCGGUACUAUCGACAUUUCUGAAAGUUAGAGCCUUAUCCCGGACAACCCUAAGGAGAUGGUUCUUCAGGGCCGGGAUCGUAGGAGUUAGCUCUCUAAACAAAAUAUCAUUCCUGUUCUUUCAUAUAAUGUGACAGAGGGCUCCAAGGGGUUCAUCCUGAAUUUAUAUACAGGAAUCACAGAUAAAGUUGUUCCUGGACUUUAUGCGGAGACAUUUGAUUCUUGACAUAUUGUGAAAUAUGACAAGUACUUGGAAUACUUCUUUUAUUUGCUCUCUUCUGUGAGAGAUUCAGGAAAUCUACCUCCGUUAACUCAAUACCUUGUGACUUUUUUGUUGCAUUGUGAUGCAUGAUAAUUGAGGGAUCUAGACACAUAAAAAGCUAAUGCCAUGCAUAAUUUUCUGGAUCUUAACAUGUAAGAUCUUUCGUCCAAAAAAAAAAAAAAACAUGUAAGAUCUUGAUUUUGUUGUUUUGUCAUGUGAAUAUGCAUAGAUCGGAGAGCUAAAGAAGCUCGUGGAAGAGGGUAAGAUAAAGUACAUCGGUUUAUCCGAGGCCUCUGCCUCAACAAUCAGAAGAGCACAUGCUGUUCAUCCCAUCACAGCGGUGCAAUUGGAGUGGUCGCUUUGGUCAAGAGAUGUGGAGGCAGAGAUCGUUCCAACGUGCAGGUAGGAUAUCACUCUGUUAAUUGUUUAUGCAGCAACAACAGCUUCCUUCUGACUCUGCUUUUCCUUUAAAAUGUUGACUAGGGAGCUUGGCAUUGGAAUUGUUGCCUACAGUCCUUUAGGACGAGGAUUCUUUUCUGUUGGCUCCAAGUUGGUGGAGAAUAUCUCUAAGGAUGACUUCAGACAGGUCUGUUCCUGCUUGUCAACAUAAUUAGAUGCCAGUAUCGGGCUUUGGCCCUCCGUCCUUUUUCAUUCUCAUCUUUCUUCACAAGAUAAACUAUAUCUUGACACAACCAUUUCUUGAGUAAGGACUCCUAGCACCCUUCUUAUGAGAGUUUUGGCUCAAGUUCCCAUCUGACAUAAAGCCAAUUGUGUAUUACUCCCCGCCAUUAGCGUUUGACUAGCGAUAGUGCUGGGCAAGUGAAGUAGCUAUUUUUUUUUUUUUGUAGCUAAAAGAGCUUUGCGUCUGAUAACGUUCUUCUACACAUCAUCUACAUUUCUGAUUUUUAUUUUAUGUGUGACUCAGGAAAAUGAUAAUUGCUCAUAUGCUCUCUGCUGAGACAUUGCUCUAUGUUAUGCAGUAUCUACCAAGGUUCCGGCCAGAGAACUUGGCUCACAACACGAAGUUAUUUGACCGAGUGAAUGGAAUUGCACAAAGAAAGGGAUGCACCACAUCGCAGUUAGCCCUCGCCUGGGUACACCACCAGGGUGAUGAUGUUUGCCUGAUUCCCGGCACGACCAAGAUCGAGAAUUUCAACUAGAACAUUGGAGCUCUGUCAGUGAAGCUUACACCGGAAGAGAUGGCCGAGCUUGAAUCGAUUGCUUCUGCAGACAGUGUCAAGGGUGGCAGGUACGAUGGAAGCAUGUCUACAUGGGAAAACUCCGACACUCCACCCCUUUCUUAAUAAAAUUAUGUGUUUUUCUAGUAAGGGAUGUUGCGAAAACUUUAUUGUCUUUUGCAUGCGUAAUUAUAACUAUGAGUGUAACUAUGCGUAAUUACAACAUGUGGCGUCACACAAUCCUCAGCACUUGAAUUGGGGUCUAUCAAGGUAGUGCUUGAGUCUAUGAUGCUCAAGCUCUAUUCAAUAGCACUUAGGCUCGGGUCCGCAAAGAUUGUGCAUCAGUCCUCAAUGCUUGAGGUCGGCUCGUUAGUUAAUAAAACGUUUGUUCUUAUAAAAAUAAUUAUUUUUAAAAAAUCUAUUUUUUUAUAUUAUUUGUUUUCUUUCUUUUUAUUUUCCUUCUUCUCGGCUAGUUGCCAACCAUGGCGCCGAUUGCGCCUGAUAACAAGCACCGGAUGAGCUAGCCCAAGGCCAAGAAGACUUGAGAUUGCUGAUUUGGCAAGCUUGAAGCUGGUCAAGUGCAAGCUCGAGUUUCGCCCCGUGGCUAGUCGCCAACUACCACCGUGGCUAGCGUUCGGUCGAGGAAGAAGAAAAAGAAAAAUAAGUAAAAAUCUGAAUAUUUUGUAAUCUUCUAUAGGGAAAUCAAAUAAGAUUUUUCAUAUUAAACGAUAAAAAAUAUUUUCUAGUUUAUUUUUAAGACUUAACCAAAUAUUGAAAAUGACUUUUUGUAAAAUAUUAUUCAAAUAUGUCAUAUUUUUUGCGAAACAAACGGUACAUAAAUUUAAAUUUGAUAAUUGUCCUUGUUAAUUUGGUACACAUUAUCUGUCUCUUUGUUUUGUUGCUGAACUGAUGCUAAUCUCUAGAUGAAGCUUGACUAGUUUCAAUAGGCGGCUUGACUUUUGCGCUUCCUUUUUUUUAAAACCCAAAACACUCAAAACUUUCGUGAUACACGACUUUCGACAUGCAGAGUUACAAUCACUUCAAAUAAUUUAUCUGAAAAUUGUAUAGUGGGCCAUCCGAGAAAGGUGAGGGCAACUUGUCCCCCUAGAAAUUGUCAUGACGUGGAACUCUUGACAUGAAUUGAAGUGACUUUUGUUAAGAGUUAACUAGUCAAGAUCGGGCCACAUCUGUCCAUUCAUGUCCGCCACAUCCGGCCCCUCCAAUCGGACUCCCCGGCGAAAAGAUUCACGGACACGUGGCUGGAUCUAGAAAGUCACGGGUUUGACUUGUCUUUUGUGUCACUAUCAAGAAUGUGCAUGGUCCGGACGGGCGAUUCCCGACCUAGAAUCGGGAACUGCUUGCUAAGGACCGAUUCCAAAACAUUGAAACGGAGAUCCACCAGUUAGUUGAAUGAAUCCACUUGGGAACCAGAUCGCUGAUUCAGUCCGAUUUCUAGGUGGAUCUAUGGAACCGAUCUUGACGCUAAAUAAUUUUAUUUUCAAUAUAGAACGACUACGUGAUUUCCAUAACAACAGCUGGAGAGGUUGUAGAAGGAUAUCAUGGUAGGCACUUACGAUAAUCGUGAGGAAAUGAUAGCAAUUUUGGUUAAACUUGUUUUCUAUCAUGGCUAUCAUGGGUCGAAUAAAAUUUUGCAAGCAAAUUUCGUGUCCUAGGCAUUUUUUUUCUCUUAGGUGUGAUGCUUUAAAAACCCUCUAUGUGAUGCUUAGGAACCUUUGUUUGUGAUGAAGCCUAAAGAUUUAUUCCUUGUUGUGGACUUGUUGUCCUACAUCAAAAUCUCUCAGUCAAACUUUUUUGCUUUGUUUUGGUAAGUCUGUAUAAGGUAUAUUACAGAAGUUGCAUUACGAGAUAUUUCUUCCUUAUUGUCUUUUUAGUUUAACUAAGGCCAAAUUGUUUUGGCAUUUUUCCAAGCAUUUCAUUAUGGAAUGAUGAUAAGAAGCGAUCUUGACUUAAUGCUUUUAGUUAUUUGAUUUGGAUUUAUUAAUUAGUAAUUUCAUUUUUUAAUAUUAAAAAUUAAUAUAUUAUUUUAAUAUAAUCGGUUCGGUCUAGGUGGGCGGGUAGAUAGAUCCGCUCAUGGAACUGGGAACCAGACUGGUACUCACCGGUUCCCAUAAAUUGGAAUCGAGAACCGGACCGGUUCCCUUAAAAACUACCGGUUCUGGGCGGUCCAAGCGGGUUUCGGUUAUUUUGCACAAAGAAUUAAAAAUUCAAUUUUUUUUAAAAAUAUUUUAAAAAGAAUUAUAAAAAUUUUCAUUAAAUUUGUAUUGCAUAAAAAUGUUUUAACAAUACUUUUUUUUAAAUAAAAAAAUCAUAAAAACGAGCUUUUUAAGGGUUAAUUAUUUUUUUUAUGUUAUUGUUUUUAGUUAUUCAAAGGUAUGUUUACUUCAAAUAAGGGAAGCAUGUGCAUAGUUUAAUUCUUUAUAAAUAUUUAAAUGUUUUUUUAAACUUUUCUUAUUUUAUUUUAUUUUCUAUUUUUAAUUUAAUUUGAAGAUUUAAUCUAAUUAGCAUAUAAUAGAAGUGGAUUUUCCUAAAAUAUUAAGAGGUUUUAGCAAUACGAGUUGGAUCGGGUAUGUGUCGGGUAUAUAUGAAUAUGGAUCAGAAUAAGUUAAAUAGAUCAAAUAUGAGUUCAUUCGUUUUCGACCGGACUCAAAUCCGGCUUGAUCCGGUUUCGACCCAACCCAAAUCCGACUCGAUCCACUCAUUUAACGGGUCUAGAUUGAAUUGACGUAAGCACGUGCGUCUUCGUAGCUACUGCCGCUCCCCUCCUAUAAAUCUCGGCUCGCCCGACAUCUUAGCCAUCGUCACGGUGCAGUGCAGGGAACGAGCGAGCUCGAGCUAGACGACGGCAAUGGCAGCGUCGACGACGACGGUGGGGAGGAUCAAGCUGGGGUCGCAGGGCAUGGAGGUGUCGGCGCAGGGGCUGGGCUGCAUGGGCAUGUCCAUCGGCUACGGCCCUCCCAAGCCCGACCCCGACAUGAUCGCCCUCAUCCACCACGCCGUCGGCUCCGGCGUCACCUUCCUCGACACCUCCGACAUCUACGGCCCCCACACCAACGAAAUCCUCCUCGGAAAGGUCGGUUCUCUCAGUCUCUCUUUUGCCUCCGCAUGAAUCAUACGUGCUUAUAGUGUUACGGAAUUCAGCUUCAUCGAGCAGGAUGCUCCGAUCCUGCGCCUUGGUUUUCUGAUUUCGGGGUUGAUUUUGAGCAGGCACUGAAGGGAGGGGUGAGGCAGAAGGUGGAAUUGGCGACCAAGUUCGGAGUCAGCUUCGCGGACGGGAAGAGGGAGAUCCGGGGCGAUCCGGCGUACGUGAGGGCUGCUUGCGAGGCCAGCUUGAGGCGGCUCCACAUCGAUUGCAUUGACCUCUACUACCAACAUCGCAUCGACACUCGCGUCCCCAUCGAAGUCACUGUAUGGAUCCCACAUCAAACCUUUACCUCUCUCGGGACUUUCUCCGAGUGAUCAGUUGCUAAAUUAGAAUGGUGUUGAUGAUGCAUCAUCAUCAAGAUAUCGUUAAAUGUGACUUGAGUUCAGAUGAUAGCAGAGUUCAAGAUGUGGCACGGUGUUGUUCAAGGGAUUGCGGAAUUUAGUAGUUUAUAUGGCUUGAGUUUUUGUUUUAUGGGUCAACAAGCAUGAAAAUUAUUCGAAAUCCAGGGUUCACCCUGAUUUAUAUCUGAGAAUCACAUUUGAAGUUGUUCCUGGACUUUCUGCGCAGACAUUUGGUUCUUGACUUGUCAUUGUGAAAUAUGACAAGUACUUGGAAUACUUCUUUAAUUUGCCUUCUUCUGUGAUAGAUUAGAGAGAUCCAUUUCCGUUAACGAUACCUUGCCAUUUUCUUGUUGCAUUGAGAUGCAUAAAGAUUGACUAUUUUUUGCUAGGAGCUACCUAAUCAAAUUGUAAUGUUUGAGAAGUCAGGGAACACAAACUAUUCAGGCAUCAGGACACAAGAAAAACUAAUGAUGUUCAAUAACUUCUGGAUCUUAACACGUAAGAUUUUGACGAUUGUUGUUUUGUCAUGUGAAUAUGCACAGGUUGGAGAGCUAAAGAAGCUCGUUGAAGAGGGUAAGAUAAAGUACAUCGGUUUAUCCGAGGCCUCUGCAUCAACAAUCAGAAGAGCACAUGCUGUUCAUCCCAUCACAGCAGUGCAAUUGGAGUGGUCGCUUUGGUCAAGAGAUGUGGAGGCAGAGAUCAUUCCCACGUGCAGGUAGGAUAUCACUGUUUAUUUGUUUAUGCAGUAACAACAUCUUUCUUCUGACUCUGCUCUUCCUUAAAAUGUUGACUAGGGAGCUUGGCAUUGGAAUUGUUGCCUACAGUCCUCUUGGACGAGGAUUCUUUUCUGUUGGCUCCAAGUUGGUGGAGAAUCUCUCUAAGGAUGACUUCAGACAGGUCUGUUUCUGCUGGUUAACAUAAUUAGAUGCUCACAGUUACUGUCAUUCCCAUUGAAGUGCUGGAAACCUGUUCUUAUUCUAUAAAGAAAAAGUUUGUGACACGAAUGCUUCAUAUUCUUAUUCGAUCCAGCACUUGCCAGUCAUCCCACCUCUCGUGAUUCUAGAUAAAUUUAAAAAUCACAAGUAAUGGCUUUAAUGAGCCUGAAAGGGGCAGUUUUCUGGAUUCUCGUGCUUUUGGGAAUGAACAAAUAUAGGUUUAUUUGUAAGUUGCUCCGUUUCCCAGCUUUCCCACCAUUUGCUUAUCACUAUCCUUUCCCCACUUUCCACCCGCCCUUUUUCUCUCAUAUCUCUUCACAAGAUUAGCAAUAUUUGCUCAAAAUAACCGAGACCAGUAUCGGGCCUUGGCCUCCGUCCUUUUUGUUUCUCAUCUUUCUUCACAAGAUAAAUUAUAUCUUGACACAACCAUUUCUUGAGCGAGGACUCCCUAACACCCUUCUUAUGAGAGUGUUGGGAUCAAGUUCCCAUCUGACAUAAAGCCAAUUGUGUAUUACUCCUGGCCAUUAGUGUUUGAGUAGCGAUAGUGCUGGGCAAGUGAAGUAGCUAUUUUUCUUUGUAGCUAAAUGAGCUUUGCGUCUGAUAACAUUCUUCUACACGUCAUCUACCUUUUGUGAUUUUUUUUUCUUAUGUGUGACUAAUGUUACCAUCACACGUACAAAACUUAGAUUGUCUAGUUUGUUUCUGUUUUCACUUCCUACAUCAAACCCAUCAGCCUUGUGUGGUAGUUGCUAGAUCACUUCGCUCGACGUUUCUAGUUCUUAUGAUUUGGGGCUAGGUAUUUUAAUCAUUUCAAGAUAAUCAUAACUGAUCAUGCUUUUCCAGGUACACAACAAUUGUGCACUUCUAAAUGCUUAUUAGGUCAAGUAACAAGGCAAUCUGUUGGCAUGCAAUGCGAUCACUUUUGCACCUUGCUGCUGUAGAAUUUGGCCUUAAAAGGAAAAUGAUAGUUGCUCAUAUGCUUUCUGCUGAGACAUUGCUCUAUGUUAUGCAGAACCAACCAAGGUUCCAGCCAGAGAACUUGGCUCACAACAUGAAGUUAUUUGACCGAGUGAAUGAAAUUGCGCAAAGAAAGGGAUGCACCACAUCGCAGUUAGCCCUUGCCUGGGUACACUACCAGGGUGAUGAUGUUUGCCCGAUUCCCGGCACGACCAAGAUCGAGAAUUUCAACCAGAACAUUGGAGCUCUGUCAGUGAAGCUUACACCGGAAGAGAUGGCUGAGCUCGAAUCAAUUGCUUCUGCAGACAAUGUCAAGGGUGGCAGGUACAAUGGAAACCUCUCUCCAUGGGAAAACUCCGACACUCCACCCCUUUCUUCUUGGAAACCUGCCUAGAAACAUGUCUACUUCUGUUGCUGCGUCUUUGAUAUGCAGAGUUUGUGCAUUUGCCGCUGAAGUAAUUUGAGGCUAUGUUGUGUGGCUGUUAUAAGUACGUGUAAUAAGAGAGUGACUGUUUUCGUUUUGUACAUGUGACAUUCACUAUGAGAAGAUUAUGGAUAUGUUCUAAGCUUACUGGGGAAAGAUCACCCGCUAACACGAGAGCAAGUUUUUUAUGAACCGAGCUUGCCGUGCCGACUUUAUCGGGGUGACUUUUAGAAUAUGAGAAAUUGGGAUUUUGAAGAAUUCAAACUCAGUCAUACAUACUAGAGUGAUGCUUUAUUCUCCUCCAACUAGUCUUGGUCCAGUUUCCAGAGAGAUUAGGUCGAUCCUUGGUCCUAGAAUUUCAGGACUAGCACUGUGCGGGUCGAUUCUUAGUCCUAAGAGUUCUAGGUCGGUCCAAUCCAAACCAACCUUAUAUAUAUAUAUAUAUAUUAUUUAUAAUUUUUUUAUAUAGAGAAAACCUUAAAACAAACGGCGUCAAUAACAUUAAAGAGUUAUUUAGUAAAGAGUUCAAGUAAUUUUACAUUGUUCUUUAAUAUUUUAGAUUUUUAAUGUCUUUUACGAUAUUAAUAGUCAUAAUUUACGAAGGAGGAAAUUGUUUUUGUAAGGAGUCCUCAUGAUAUCUAAAAAGGUAUAAAUGGCAUCAUUCUUUAGUAUUCGUUCUCUUUGGUUUUAUUCGUUCUCUUAAUUAUCAAUUUGCCAAAAUUGAAAGAAGCAAUCGCUCACUUUGGGUCACUCCUGCCGCUCGCCGCUUAAUGCUCGCUUGGCUUGUUGCUCCAUGCUCGAUAUUCGAUAUUUAUUCUGUUCGACGCUCACCCCACUUGACUCUCGUUGCUUGCCUUUUUUAGUUGACCUUGCUCAUCAUCGAAUCCAUUAGGUCAAUAUGGUCCUCAGUUGCUUUUUCAAGGAUUACAAAAAAUGAAAUAAAAAAUUAUUAAUUAGUCCUAAGUUGACCUUGAAACCAGACCGAACCCAUUGGGUCCGUUUGAUCUUCAAUCGCUUUUUUAAGGUGUACAAAAAAUGAAAUAAAAAAUUAUUGGUUGGUCCCGGGUUGACCCUAGAACUGGACCGAACCCAUUGGAUCAGUUCGGUCAUUGGUCCUAAGCUUAAUAGGGUUGGUUCUCGGUCCAAAAAACUGAGGACCAGCAUUGUGUGAGUUGGUCAUAGGGUUAGGGGGUGAACCGGCCCAACCUGGACCAUACUCACUCCUACCUCUAACCAUGAGUUCAAUACUAGCACCAUGUGCAACAUACUCUUAGGACUGGAUGCUACACAUAGAUACAACGCUUCGCUUUGUGUUUGGUUUCGUAGCGAAGUAAAGGAACAGUAAAAUGCUAUUGGAUGUUCUCGCGAAAAUGAAGUUUGGGAUAAAAUGUUGGCGCGGUUGAUAUGAGUGUCGAGGAAAUCGAAGGUUUCUUGUUCAAGUUUAACCACCUACGGUUCAUGAGCUUUUAUGUAGCUCAAUACCUUCGCUCAUGCCUCUGCAUUAUUAUAAAACAGUCGGAGAUAUUGCGCAAGUUUCCUAAAAUUAAAAACAACAAUUCUAUUGUUUUUUAUUUGGAGUUAGAGUGGAGCAAUGUCGUUUUGUUUUGAUUUAGGAAAAUAACGCAAAUAGUCAUUGAACUUUGGUCCAAUGUGUUAUGUUCUUAUUGAACUUUUAAUUUAUUUAGUAUGACUGUCGAACUUUUUAUACAUGUUUAAUUUAGAUCCUAGGCUAGAUAAAUCCAACGAUGCUGUGUUUGGUCGUUCGAACAUCUUUGCUGUAUGGGAUAAUGAAUGGAUGAAAAUCCCAUCUAAUAUUUCUUGACGUCUGGAUAUAGCAUGAUUCAAAAUAAAUCUUUUUUUUUUUAAAUGAGUGUUUGAUUUGUAUAAUUAAAAUUAAAAAUAAACCAUGGAAGUCGUGAAUAGUAUUCAUCCUUUCACAAUCUUCAUCGAUAUUAAACACCCCCGUUCCAUGUGACUUCAAGGACGCUCUCUCCUUCUGCAACGCCCCUUUCGCUGCCCUUGAUCAACUUGAUGGAUUACGCUCGCUCUACCUUUGACUUCGCCACAUUGAGAGGCCCUUGGGUUUGAGUUCUCCGCUGGUCUAGCCAUCUUUACUUCGAAUGCCUUUUCCUGCGAUGAAUCCAUCCCCUUCGACGAGUGCGAAUACUGCGUUGAUUCCCUGUUACCGUGCCCCGACUUGUUCAGUCGCUUCAACAGCUUCCCCCGAGACAGCGUGCGGAUCCGGUUUAUGAGUGGUAGCACCAUCGGUGCUACUCGCUCCGAGUGACGUGGUUGAAGAGCUCUAUCACCUUGGCUGCCGCCUCUUUCGGAUCAUCUUCUUCACAGAGAAGAUGUCCAGCUUUGAUCGGGAUCACAAAGUUCCCUACUAAAAUGGAGUUAAGUGACAUAAGAAAGAGGCAGGGCUGACGAGCUCCGACGCCACUUUUCCGAGGCAGCCAAAGGUGGUAAGCAGCUUGUCACUGGUAGGAGGAACGGUGGCCCUUAGACUUUGCUCAGGUCGUUGUGGCGAGGGCUUCUCUAGGUAUCUUCGCGAUACUCAUGCUCUAAGUUUGUGGUGGUCAUUUUAGUGAGAGAAAUUGAAACAAGAGAGAUGAUGCGGCACCGGUCAAAAGUGAGGAUAAGCCAUCAACAAGCGCAGGAGUGGGGGAAAAACUUGUAUCCCUUAUUUUUUUCAAUUUUCCAAAUUUCACAUAUCCUAUUUGGAUCUAUAUCACUUUCUAGAUGAGAUUUUUUAUCCGGACUAUAUCCAAAUUUCACGUUACUCUAAACACCGGAUAUGAUCAAACUUAUCAUAUCAGAGUUUUAUUCGGCCCAUCAAAGACAGACUUAUGAGAUAGAAUGCAAUGAUAUAAUCUAUGAAUUAGAUUAAACAUUUAUUAAAAGUUUAAGAAUAAUAUUUCACAUUUUGAUUGUUAGGAUGCACGAGUGAGUUAUGUUAAAACAAUCCCACAAUAUAUUGAUAGCUUUGUAAUAAGGCUUUCUCUUGGUGAUGACAUAGAUCCAUAUGGAGAAAUUAAUGGGAGGGUUUAUUUGGCCUAACUAAAUGGGAGGCUAUAUCAAUCGGAGCUUUUUCAUUGUAACAUUCCCUUGUGCUUGGUAUUUGUAUUUUAGUAAAAGGAUUUUGCUAGCAUAAUAAUCUUUGGGUUAUCAUGAGAAUAACAAUUUAUUAUGAUUUACAAAAUUUUAAAAUAGUAAACCUCAAUUCAAUUUUAAACUUUUUUUUUUCUAACUAAUUCAAUCCUAAAUAUUUUGCAUUUGUGACAAUUUAGUCUAUUCGGCCAUUUUUCGCCAAGAGGCAUUGAUGUGAACUUUGGCUGAUCGACCAAUGCUGACAUGGACAAUUUUUUUAAUAAUAUUUUAUUUUUCUUAUUUUUUAUUAAUUUUUUCUUUCUUUUUUUCUUCACUUCCUUCUCCUUCCUCCAGCCAGUCGGCAAGAGGCAAGGUUGGUGAGGGACCUUGCUGGCCUUGAGGAAGCUUGGCCAUGGUUGGGCAACCUUGCUCGUGGCUAGGCGACCUCGCCGAGGCCGCCGAUUGGGCUGGCGAGGGUUGACCCUCGUUGGCCAUAGGUCAGGACAAAGGCUGCUAGUUGGGCUUGCCCUUAUUGAAUCUGGUGAGGGUUGAGUCUCAUUGGCCAUGGGCAAGGUCAAAGGCCGCGACCUCUCGUGGUCUCUGGCGAGGCUUGCCAAAGGUUGAGCAAGGCUUACCCUCAUUGGACUGACGAGGGUUGAGCCUCGUCAGCCAAGAGCGAGAUCGUAACUUGCCCAUGGCCGGUGAGGCUCGCCUAGGCCAAAGACAGGCGGGGCCUUGCCUAACCAUGGCAAGGGUGGCCUCACCAUUGUUGGGUGAGGCUAGCCCUUGCCAGUGGCGUGUGGGGGUAAGCCUUGCCAUUGGUUGGCAAGGCUGACUUCACUGGCUUGAAUAAAAUAAAAUAUUAUUAAAAGAUUAUUCACAUCAAUAUUAGCCGAACGAGUGGUGCUCGUCGGCCAAAAUUGGCCGGAUGAAUUGAAUUAGUAUAAUUGCAAAAUGUUUAGGACUGAAUUGGCUAGAAAAAAAAAAGAUUUUAAGACUAAAUUAGAAAAAUUGCAAUAAGUUUAUGAUUGUUUUGGUAAUUUUUUCGUAUAAUAACCCUAGUAAAGAUGACUCACUUAAUUUGAGCGUCAAUAAAUCAAAGGUCACUUGUUUAGUUCUCACAACUUAUUUGUAAAUCACUUUAGAAGUGCAAAUCCAAUCAAUUUAUGAGCUUGCAAAAUGAGUCUCUAGAUAAACCAACUUUUGUAUUCGUGCUUCAGGAUUAUAAUAAAAUAUUAGAGGUUUUCAUCAGUGUAUCAUGAUAGGCUAGAUAGGGCGUUUUCUUUUGCACUUGUCAUACAUGAUCAUUUUGUAUCCUUUGAACUCAUGUUAUUUGUUGGUACUAGGUUGAGUGGUAAUAUGAUCUCCUACCUUAUACUUAGAUAUUUCAUUUAUUAGGCUUCGCCUCACUCCUUUUUUUCUUUUUUUUUCUUUUUUGUUGUAGGAUGAUUCCCCUAAAGAUGGUGACGGAGGGGCCGAGUUGAUAUCGGAAGCCAUUAAUCCUUGAGUUGGAUGGUAGUUUAGUUAGUAUGGAUGUAAUGGUAUUAGGUGACCCCGAUCUUUCCUAGGACUAUAAAAUUUUUUGUGAUAAUUACUAUCGAUAUUGUAUAAAGCCAAAGACACUUUUUUUUUUAAUAAACUCAUGCAUUUUUCUAGUAAAGGAUGUUGUGAAAACUUUAUUGUCUUUUCCAUGCGUAAUUAUAACUAUGAGUAUAAAUGGAAAUGACAUGUGCCGCAUGUGAUGUUCCAAGGCGUCACAUAAUCCCCAACACUCAAAUUAGGGUCCAUUAAGGCAGUGCUUAAAACUAUGAUGCUCAAGUUCUAUUCGGCAGCACUUAGGCUCGGGUCCAACAAGAUCGUGUGUCAGUCCUCAAUGCUCGGGCUCGGCUCGUUAGUUAAUAAAAUGUUGUUCUUAUAAAAAUAAUUCUUUUUAUUUUCAUUUUAUAUUCAUUUGUUUUCUUUCUUUUUCUUUCUCCUUCUUCUUGGCUGGUUGCCGACCAUGAUGACGAUUGCGCCUGAGAACAAGCGAGAGAUGAGCUAGCCCAAGGCCAAGAAGACUUGAGAUUGCUGAUUUGGCAAGCUUGAAGUUGGUUGAUCAAGUGACGCUAAAGCUCCCUAGCGUUGGGCAACCUCGAGUUUCACCUCAUGGCUAGUCGCCAACUACCACCGUGGCGAGCGAUCGGUUGAGGAAGAAGAAAAAUAAAAAUAAAAUUAAAAGAGAAAAUAACUAAAAAUCUGAAUAUUUUGGCAUUUUCUAUAGGGAAAUCAAAUCGAAAAAAUAUUUUCUAGUUUAUCUUUAGGACUUAACCAAAUAUUGGAAAUAUUAUUCAGAUAUGUCAUAUUUUUUGCGAAACAAACGGUGCGUAAAUAUUUAGAUUUGAUAAUUGUCCAUGUUAAUUAGGUACACAUUAUCUCACUCUUUGUUUCGUUGCCGAACUGAUGCUAAUCUCUAGACGAAGCUUGACUAGUCUCAACUCAAUAGGCGGCUUGACUUUUGCGCUUCCUUUUCUUCUUUUCUUUUUUCUUUUUAACUCAAAACACUCAAAACUUUCCUGGUACACGACUGUCGUCGUGUUACAAUCACUUUCAAUAAUGAUGGCCAUCCGAGCAAGAUGAGGGCGACUGGUCCCCCUAGAAAUUGUCAUGACGUUUGACUUUCAUGAAUUGAAAUGACUUUUCUCUGUCAAGGAGAAAAAUAGUUAACUAGUCAAGAUCGUGCCACAUCUCUCCAUCCAUGUCCUCCACAUCCGGCCCCACCAAUCGGACUCCCCGACAAAAAAAAUCGAGGACACGUGGCUGGAUCUAGAAAGUCACAGGUUCGACUUGUCUACUGUUAUCACUGUCCUUUUGCAAUAAUUUUUUUACACCCGUCUAGCUGUUGUGAGCUCCUCUGACAUACUAAUUGUGUGGAUAUGGUGAACUUGGGACCUUCUAUAAUCUGUCCAUAUUAAAAAUUUAAAAUGGACAAAUUCCGCCUCUCAUUGUGGAAUUCCACCCACAUUUCUCGCAAACUUUCAAACAUUAGUUCCAGGUCGUGCAUUCCAAUUGAGCCUUGUCUGGUCAAAUAUCAAAGUACUCUAGAGAAAAAUUUUAAAAAAAAUUGUAAAAAAGAGAGAGAAGGAAAACGAUUCAGCCUUAUAAUAACUUGCUAGGAACCACGUAGUUAAUUAGAGCAUCAAGAAAUUAGAGGUAGCUUGUGUAGUUCUCGCAAGUUACUUGUAAAUUGCUUUAGAAGUACAAACUUAAUUGAUUUAUGAGCUUGCACCAUAUUUUAUGAGUUUCUGAAUAACCAACUUUUGUAUUCAUGCAACUCACUCCGCUGUGACUGAGUUGGUUCGGACGUUCCCUCCUCUUCCAAUUGGGGGGAGGUUUGAGUCACCACGAUUGCAUUUGCGCAACUUAAGUGCGGCGCCAUGAGAGGUGGGUCCCCGUGCUAGCGUCACCGUGGGUUUACGUCGCCAGCUGCCGGUUGUACGGCGAUUCUCAAGUCAUAAAAAAAAAAGAAAAAAGAAAAUUUGUAUUCAUGCUUGUAGAUUAUAAUAAAAUAAUUGGUUGUGGUGGGCAAUUGAGAGUGACACCGUUUUCGCCUUUUAUUUUUUGUAAUAUGUGAAGUGUUGUUCUGUUUUUUGUUUUCGUCACCCUCCCACUUGUGCUAUAUUUGUUAGGUCUCCUCGCCAGGAGUUCGUCACUUUAUGUUAUUGACCUCUUAAUUAAAUACAACAAUACCUUCAAGGACUGCUCUUCAUAAAGGCGCGGAUUGGACGGCCGGUGACCGAGAUAGCAGCCUCCGCCCCUCCCUCGGUCUUGCCCUUUGCAUAACUUUUAGAAAACAUGCGUGAUUAGAGGAUCAAUAGUGACUUAAUUCUAACCCGUAUCGAUGUUACCCGUUUAGCAUCUCUUAGUAAAUGUAAAUAUUGUACGCGGAUGACAGCAUUUUGAAGAAUUUACAAUUGGUGUUCUUUUAUUAAAUAUGGUUGAUAUCAUGAAAAAUCUUAGAUUGAUACAUUUGCGACAAACUUAUCCCAAACUAUUUUUUUUACACAAAAACCGUAAACUAGUAUAUUUGUAAUUUUACCUAAAACUAUUUUUUUUUAUCGUCAAAAACCUCAAACUGAUAUAUUUGUAGCAAAAUUACUCUUUACUAACUAGUGUUAAAUUAUACUAAUAUGAAUUGGUACAUCUAUGACAAACGAAGGGUAAAAUCCUAAAUUGGUACACUCAUUAACUAUCAUAUGUCAUUUAACUCAGUAAUUUAAUAGUACAAUUUAAGGGAAAUUAACGGAGGGUCAAUUUGUCAUAGGUGUAUCGGUAUGAGAUUUUUGAUAGCAAAUGUAGGAGUUUUACAUGGUAUUAAACUCUAUUGCAUAUGAUCAAAAGUCCUAGUUUCUACUAUUUUUGUCGACACAAUACCUUAAAAAACCUCAAACUUAAGCUCUGAUCCUAAUUCUAUCUUUUGUGUUAUAAGACCUCCAACUUUAGAUCAUGUCCCAAUUCCACCCUAACAUACAUAUUUUAGAAAACCCCAUAUUUUAGUUAUAGUCCCAAUCUUAUCUAAACAUCUGUUAUCUCAUAAAAUCCCUCAAAUUUAGGUCAAGUACCAAUUCCAACCUAAACGUUAUUUUGUCUUAUAAAAAGAAUCCUAGCUUUAGGUCCAAUUUCAUUUUCACUUUUUUUUUUUAUCUCAUAAAAGAUUACCAACUUUUACUUGAGUCCCAAAUCCACUCUCCAUUAACCCUCCAUCAAAAUUGCCCUUAGUGAUUUUGUGCUCGGUUUUUGAUCUCGCGUGCUUGGAAAUAUUUCAUUUCUCUUGAACAACUUGUGCUUGAGGGUUUUCCAUCUCUCGAUGUCAGCAGGAAAUUUUGCACGAAGGGUUAAUGGUGGCAAAUAUGCGACUCAAGUAAAAAUUUAUAGUUUUUUCAUCAGACUAUAAAAAUUUUACGGUAAUAUUGAGAGUGGAUAGGCUUUUCAUAAGACAAGAAAAGGUUUAAGGUAGAAUUAGUAUAUUAUUUAAAAUUGAAUUGUGAAUGGCUAUAAAAUUAGUGAUUUUUUUUAUGAGAUAAAAGGUAAAAUUAGGAGAAAAGCUAAAGUUAGAGAGUUUUUUUUAGGGUAUCAAACCUAUUUUUGUCAAUCAUAUGAUGUCAACAUUAUCUUUGUUUUUGUUUUUCUUUCAAUUGUCCAUUUGGUCGGUUCUUUUCUAUUCUUAUUCUCAAACUUUUGCCUUGACUCAUUACAAGUGUGAGAAUUGAAACCACAUUUGAUACUAUAUUGUCCCCCGGUAGGCAUUCAAAACCCCCAUCUCCCGCUUCUCAUGUAAGUUAUGAAUGGAGCCUUCGUGUCGUGUCCGACACGCUCGAAGAUGCGGUCAAUACGUGUUCGAAAUCCGACACGUGAACAAUUCUUAUUGACACAUUCUAACACACAAGUCCGAGAGAGAGGAUCGUUGAAGAAAACAAUGGCAAGGGAGCGAAGGCAACGGCAAGGCCACGACGGUGAGAGAGGGCUAGAGGAAGAGUAGAGACCGAGAUGACCUAAAGAGAGGAUCGUGACUGCAAUGGAGGGCCGGUGGCGAGACUGCACCUAUGUAGGAGGAAGGGUUGGAGGUGAGGCGGCAAGCGAUUAUGACAAGGCAAUCAAGAGAGAGAAGAGAUUGAGAGGUGGAUGGUCGUGCGAGGAGGAGGGGAAGGCCAGGGCUAGGGUUUUUGAAGGGGGAAAAUCAAAAAAUUAAAAACAUGAUUUUGAUGGGACAUUAGGGUUGUGCAAGGAGGAGGGGAAGGCCAGGGCUAGGGUUUUUGAAGGGGAAAACUCAAAAAAAUUAAAAACAUGAUUUUGAUGGGACAUUGCUGUGAUUUCUCCUUUAUGGAGAGGGGGAGCGUGUCGGGAGGUGGAGGGGGAGGGCAGAUAAAUGAGGGAAAGAUGAGUGAAAUAAGUUUGUUGGGGGCACAAAAGGAGGGGUUGGUAGGACCUGAGCAAGUCCUUAGACUGCUCCGUCUGGUCGGAAAUAGCCCACGGACGUAAAAUGUGGGCAAUGUUAAUCGUGGGAGAUCAGACCACCCUGUGUAAGGAUCUCCUGGCUCAGAUUCCCGCGAUGCCUUUCUCCUAACAUAUUAGGCUGGGUACAGGAAAAUGAUGAGUGAAAUAAGUUUGUUGGGGGGGGGGGGCACAAAAGGAGGGGUUGGUAAGGGUUGGCAUGGACCCCAUGGAUUUUUAUUUUUUUUUAAUCAAAAAAAUAAAUAAGGAAGGCCAGAAAGUGGGGGAAGAAACUAUGGAAAGAGAGUGAAGUAAAUGUGGGGGUGAGGGUUGGGGUGGACCACGGGGGUCUUUUCUUAUCAGAAAAAUAAAUAAGAAAAACUAUAAGGUGAUUUCGGAAAAUGAAAGUGUUGAAUGUUGAAUAAUAAUAAAAUUUGAUAAUUGUAAAAGAUUAUAGAUUUAUUUAAAUAAGUUAAUUCUAAUUUUUCUUAAUCAUUAGUUUUAUCAAUAAUUUUUGUUAGAGUUAGAAAUAUGUUCGUAUGGAUGCUAUAUGGCAUAUGGAAAGGGUGGCCUCACUUCUGGCGUUUCAUGUAUGGAAAGAGUGAUUAUUAAUGGCGCAUUUGGUAACGUUUUUGUUUCGGAGGACAAUUUUUGAAUAGAAAUAGUUUUUUUUUUUGUUCUAGGGAAUAAUUUUUGAGUAUAAGAAUGUGUUUGGUAACUGCAAACAAUUUCUACUCUAAAAAUAGAAACGCGCUUGGUAAACUUGUAUAAUUUCUUUGUUUCUUUUAAUUUUUUAAUAUUUUUAAUAUUUUUUUUCUUUUUUUCUUUUUUCUUUUUCUCUUUGGUCGGUUGCUGGCUAUGGCGAUGUCCGUUGAGCCUUGUCCAGGCAACGCGAGGUUCGCCUCGUGCCGAUUGGGGAGGUCAAGGCCUCUUGGCUUUGUCUGGGCUAAGCGAGGUUGACCUUGCCCAGCCACCGGCGAGACUCGGCCUCGCUGGGCCACCGCUAGGCGACUCUGUCCUGGAGGUGGCUCGGCGAGGUCGAGCCUCAUGCGGCCAUGGCGAGGCUCGGCCUCUCUGGGGGCUAGCGACACUCCGGCGAGGUCGUCGGCUCUCGUCUAGCCAGUUGCCGGUGUCAACUAUGGCUAAGGCUGAUGACNNNNNNNNNNNNNNNNNNNNNNNNNNNNNNNNNNNNNNNNNNNNNNNNNNNNNNNNNNNNNNNNNNNNNNNNNNNNNNNNNNNNNNNNNNNNNNNNNNNNCGUCUGGUCGAAAACAGCCCAUGGACGUAAAAUGUGGGCAAUGUUAAUCGCGGGAGAUCGGACCACCCUGUGUAAGGAUCUCUCGGUUCAGAUUCCCGCGAUGCCCUUCUCCUAACGUAUUAGACUGGGUACAGGAAAAUGACGAGUGAAAUAAGUUUGCUGGGGGCACAAAAGGAGGGGUUGGUAAGGGUUGGCAUGGACCCCAUGGACUUUUAUUUUUUUAUCAGAAAAAUAAAUAAGGAAGGCUAGAAAGUGGGGGAAGAAACUAUGGAAAGAGAGUGAAGUAAAUGUGGGGGUGAGGGUUGGGGUGGACCACGGGGGUCUUUUCUUAUCAGAAAAAUAAAUAAGAAAAACUAUAAGGUGAUUUCGGAAAAUGAAAGUGUUGAAUGUUGAAUAAUAAUAAAAUUUGAUAAUUGUAAAAGAUUAUAGAUUUAUUUAAAUAAGUUAAUUCUAAUUUUUCUUAAUCAUUAGUUUUAUCAAUAAUUUUUGUUAGAGUUAGAAAUAUGUUCGUAUGGAUGCUAUAUGGCAUAUGGAAAGGGUGGCCUCACUUCUGGCGUUUCAUGUAUGGAAAGAGUGAUUAUUAAUGGCGCAUUUGGUAACGUUUUUGUUUCGGAGGACAAUUUUUGAAUAGAAAUAGUUUUUUUUUUUGUUCUAGGGAAUAAUUUUUGAGUAUAAGAAUGUGUUUGGUAACUGCAAACAAUUUCUACUCUAAAAAUAGAAACGCGCUUGGUAAACUUGUAUAAUUUCUUUGUUUCUUUUAAUUUUUUAAUAUUUUUAAUAUUUUUUUUCUUUUUUUCUUUUUUCUUUUUCUCUUUGGUCGGUUGCUGGCUAUGGCGAUGUCCGUUGAGCCUUGUCCAGGCAACGCGAGGUUCGCCUCGUGCCGAUUGGGGAGGUCAAGGCCUCUUGGCUUUGUCUGGGCUAAGCGAGGUUGACCUUGCCCAGCCACCGGCGAGACUCGGCCUCGCUGGGCCACCGCUAGGCGACUCUGUCCUGGAGGUGGCUCGGCGAGGUCGAGCCUCAUGCGGCCAUGGCGAGGCUCGGCCUCUCUGGGGGCUAGCGACACUCCGGCGAGGUCGUCGGCUCUCGUCUAGCCAGUUGCCGGUGUCAACUAUGGCUAAGGCUGAUGACUGGCAAAAGGAAGAAGAAGAAGAAGAAGAAGAAGAAAAGAAAGAGAAAAUAGAAGAAGAAAAAUGAUAAGAAAAAAAAGUGUUUUUCGAAAGUGUUCUCGAGAAUAAGAAAUAAGUUUUUUUUUUUAAUUUCUUAUUUUUGUUCCAAAGUUGCUCUCACAAUAAAAAAAAAAGACCAGAAUAAAAGUAUAAACAAAUGAGUUUCUAUUCUUUUUUGGUUCUCUGGAACAAAAUAAUAAAAAUUUAUAUUCCAGGAAAAAAAAAUAAUUUUAAACGAACACACCCUAAGAUAUCUUUUGUAUUCCGGGGAAGUAGUUCAAUUGACGUGAGCCCGUGCGUCUUCCCUACAUGGGAAGGGUCGUCACUGGGUCUCAUCUGACCUAAGCAAGUGCGUCUUCACAGCUUUUACCGCUCCCCUCCUACACUUCGUAGCUACCGCCACUCCCCUCCUAUAAAUCUCGGCUCGCCCGACGCCUUCGCCAUCGUCUCGGUGCAGUGCAGGGAACGAGCGAGCUCGAGCUAGACGACGGCAAUGGCGGCUUCGACGACGACGGUGAGGAGGAUCAAGCUGGGGUCGCAGGGCCUCGAGGUGUCGGUGCAGGGGCUGGGCUGCAUGGGCAUGUCCGCCUUCUACGGCCCUCCCAAGUCCGACACCGACAUGAUCGCCCUGAUCCACCACGCCGUUGGCUCCGGCGUCACCUUCCUCGACACCUCCGACAUCUACGGCCCCCACACCAACGAAACCCUCCUCGGAAAGGUCGGUUCUCUCUCAGUCUCUGUUUUGCCUCCGCAUGAAUUAUAUGUGCUUAUAGUGUUACGGAAUUUAGCUUCAUCGAGCAGAGUGCUCUGAUCCUGCGCCUUGGUUUUCUGAUUUCGGGGUUGAUUUUGAGCAGGCACUGAAGGGAGGGGUGAGGCAGAAGGUGGAAUUGGCGACCAAGUUCGGAAUCAGCUUCGCGGACGGGAAGAGGGAGGUCCGGGGCGAUCCGGCGUACGUGAGGGCGGCUUGCGAGGCCAGCUUGAAGCGGCUUGACAUCGAUUGCAUCGACCUCUACUACCAACAUCGCAUCGACACUCGCGUCCCCAUCGAAGUCACUGUAUGGAUCCCCCAUCAAACUUUCACCUCGCUUGAGACUUUCUCCGAGCCAUAUGAUUAGUUGCUAAGUUAGAUUGGUGUUGAUGAUGCAUCGUCAUGUUGUUACAAGUUUGUUGAAAUUUGUUAAAUGACACUUAAGUUCGGCUGAUAGCAGAGUUCAAGAUGCGGCACGUUGUUGUUCAAGGGGUUGUGGAAUUUAGUAGUUUAGUGGCUUGAGUUUUCGUUUUGUGGGCAUCUUUUACAAGUUAAGGGUCAACAAGCAUGAAAAUUAUUCAAAAUCUUCCUUUGAGAUGAAAGUGCUCCAGGGUUCAUCCAGAAUUUAUAUACGGGAAUCACAUAUAAAGUUGUUCCUGGACUUUAUGUGGAGACAUUUGAUUCUUGACAUAUUGUGAAAUAUGACAAGUACUUGGAAUACUUCUUUUAUUUGCUCUCUUCUGUGAGAGAUUCAAGAAAUCAACCUCCGUUAACUCAAUACCUUGUGACUUUUUUGUCGCAUUGAGAUGCAUGAUAAUAGAGGGAUCUAGACGCAUAAAAAGCUAAUGACAUGCAUAAUUUUCUGGAUCUUAACAUGUAAGAUCUUGAUGUUGUUGUUCUGUCAUGUGAAUAUGCACAGAUCGGAGAGCUAAAGAAGCUCGUUGAAGAAGGUAAGAUAAAGUACAUCGGUUUAUCCGAGGCCUCUGCAUCAACAAUCAGAAGAGCACAUGCUGUUCAUCCCAUCACAGCAGUGCAAUUGGAGUGGUCGCUUUGGUCAAGAGAUGUGGAGGCAGAGAUCGUUCCAACGUGCAGGUAGGAUAUCACUCUGUUAAUUGUUUAUGCAGCAACAACAGCUUCCUUCUGACUCUGCUUUUCCUUUAAAAUGCUGACUAGGGAGCUUGGCAUUGGAAUUGUUGCCUACAGUCCUUUAGGACGAGGAUUCUUUUCUGUUGGCUCCAAGUUGGUGGAGAAUAUCUCUAAGGAUGACUUCAGACAGGUCUGUUCCUGCUUGUCAACAUAAUUAGAUGUUUACAUUGACUGUCAUUCUUAUUGAAGUGCUGGAAACCUGUUCUUGUGGUAUAAAGAAAAAGUAUCUGGAUGGGAUGAAUAAAACUUGGUGACACGAAUGCUUCGUGUUCUUAUAUGUCUUUAAUCCAGCACUUGCCAGACAUCCCACCUCUCUUGAUUCUAGAUAAAUGUAAAAUCACAAGUAACGGCUUUAAUGAGCCUGAAAGAGGCAGUUUCCUGGAUUCUCGUGCUUUUGGGAAUGAAUACAUAUAGGUUUAUAUGUAAGUUGCUCUGUUUCCCAGCCUUCCCAACAUUUGCUUAUCACUAUCCUUUCCCCACUUUCCACCCACCCUUUUUCUCUCAUCUUUCUUCACAAGAAUAGCGAUAUUUCCUCGAAAUAACUGACGCCAGUAUCGGGCUUUGGCCCUCCGUCCUUUUUCAUUCUCAUCUUUCUUCACAAGAUAAACUAUAUCUUGACACAACCAUUUCUUGAGCGCGGACUCCCGACACCCUUCUUAUGAGAGUUUUGGAUCAAGUUCCCAUCUGACAUAAAGCCAAUUGUGUAUUACUCCCCGCCAUUAGCGUUUGACUAGCGAUAGUGCUGGGCAAGUGAAGUAGCUAUUUUUCUUUGUAGCUAAAAGAGCUCUGCGUCUGAUAACAUUCUUCUACUCAUCAUCUACAUUUCUGAUUUUUUAUUUUAUGUGACUAAUGGUAUCAUCACACGUACAAAACUUAGAUUGUCGAGUUUGUUUCUGUUUUCACAUCCUACAUCAAGCCCAUCAGCCUUGUGUGGUAGUUGCUAGAUCACUUCGCUUGACGUUUCUAAUGCUUAUGAUUUGGGACAUGAUAUUUUAAUCAUUUCAAGAUAAUUUAUAACUGAUCAUGCUUUUUCAGAUACACAACGAUUGCACACUUCUAAAUGCUUAUUAUGUCAAGUAACAAGACAAUCCGAUGGCAUGCAAUGCAACCACUUUUGCACUUGUUGCUGUAGAAUUUAGCCUUAAGAGGAAAAUGAUAAUUUCUCAUAUGCUCUCUGCUGAGACAUUGCUCUAUGUUAUGCAGUAUCUACCAAGGUUCCGGCCAGAGAACUUGGCUCACAACACGAAGUUAUUUGACCGAGUGAAUGAAAUUGCGCAAAGAAAGGGAUGCACCACAUCGCAGUUAGCCCUGGCCUGGGUACACCACCAGGGUGACGACAUUUGCCCGAUUCCCGGCACAACCAAGAUCGAGAAUUUCAACCAGAACAUUGGAGCUCUGUCAGUGAAGCUUACACCGGAAGAGAUGGCCGAGCUUGAAUCGAUUGCUUCUGCGGACAAUGUCAAGGGUGGCAGGUACGAUGGAAGCAUGUCUACAUGGGAAAACUCCGACACUCCACCCCUUUCUUCUUGGAAACCUGCCUAGAAGCGUGUCUGCUUCUGUUGCUGCAUCUUUGAUGUGCAGAGGUUGAGCAUUUGCCGCUGAAGUAAUUUGAGUUUAUGUUGUGUGGCUGUUAUAAGUAUGUGUAAUAAGAGAGUGACUGUUUUCAUUUUGUACAUGUGACAUUCACUAUGAUAAGAUUAUGGAUGUGUACUAACCUUACUGGGGAAAGAUCACUCGAUAAACACGAGAGCGAGUUGAAUACGAACUGAGCCUGCCGUGUCGACUUUAUUGGGGUGACUUUUAGAAUCUGAGAAAUCGGGAUUUUGAAGAAUUCAAACUCAGUCGUACAUACUAGAGUGGUAUUCUCCACCAACCAUGAGUUCAAUCUCUUAAGACUGGAUGCUGCACAUAGAUGCAAAGCUUCGCUUUGUGUUUGGUUUGGUAGCGAAGUUAAGGAACAGUAAAAUGUUACCGGAUGUUCUCGCGAAAACGAAGUUGGGGAUAAAAUGCUGGCGCGGAUGAUAUGAGCGUCGGGGAAAUCGAGGGUUUCUUGUUCAAGUUUCACCACCUACGGUUCAUGAGCUUUUAUGUAGCUCGAUACCUUCGCUCAAUGCCUCUGCAUUAUUAUAAAACAGUCGGAGAUAUUGCGCAAGUUUCCUAAAAUUAAAAACGACACUUCUAUUGUUUUUUAUUUGGAGUUAGAGUGGUGCAAUGUUGUUUUGUUUUGGUUUAGGAAAAUAACGCAAAUAGUCACUACACUUUGGUCCAAUGUGUUAUGUUCUUACUGAAUUUUUAACUUGUUUAAUAUGGUUGUCGAGCUUUUUGUAUAUGUUUAAUUUAAAUCCUAGGCUAGAUAAAUCCAAUGAUGCCGUGUUUGGUCGGUUCGAAGAUCGUUGCUAUAUGGGAUAAUGAUAGGAUAAAAAUCCCAUCUAAUAUUUCUUGACGUCUGGAUAUAACAUGAUUCAAAUAAUUUUUUUUUUAAACGAGUGUUUGAUUUGUAUAAUUAAAAUUAAAAAUAAACCAUGGAAGUCGUGAAUACUAUUCAUCCUUUCACAAUCUUCAUCCAUAUCAAGCACCCCCGUUCCAUGUGACUUCAAGGACGCUCGCUCCUUCUGCAACACCCCUUUCGCUGCCCUUGAUCAACUUGAUGGAUUACGCUCGCUCUGCCUUUUGACUUCGCCACAUUGAGAGGCCCUUGGGUUUGAGUUCUCCGCUGGUCUAGCCAUCUUUAUUUUCAACGCCUUUUCCUGCGAUGAAUCCAUCCCCCUCGACGAGUGUGAAUGCCGCGUUGAUUCCCUGUUACCGUGCUCCGACUUGUUCAGUCGCUUCAACAGCUUCCCCCGAGACAGCGUGCGGAUCCGGUUUAUGAGUGGUAGCAGCAUCGGUACUACUCGCUCCGAGUGACGUGGUUGAGGAGCUCUAUCACCUUGGCUGCCGCCUCUUUCGGAUCAUCUUCUUCACAGAGGAGGUGUCCAGCUUUGAUCGGGAUCACAAAUUUCCCUACUAAAAUGAAGUUGAGUGACACAAGAAAGAGGCAGGGCUGACGAGCUCCGCGAUACUCAUGCUCAUGCUCUAAUUUUGUGGUGGUCAUUUUAGCGAGACAAAUUGGAACAAGAGAGAGAUGAUGGUGGCACUGGUCAAAAGCGAGGAUAAGCUAUAAAAAGCGCCCCGCCGCCCGGGGGGGGGGGGGGGGGGGGGGGGGGGGUCAGUUUUUCAAAUUUCACAUAUUUUAUCUGGAUUUAUAUCACUUUCUAGAUGUGAUUUUUUAUCCGUGCUAUAUCCUAAUUUCACAUUACUCUAGACACCAUAUAGGAUUAAACUUAUCAUAUUAGAGUUUUAUCCAGCCCUUCAAAUGCAGUCUUAUGAGAUAGAAUGCAAUGAUAUAAUCUGUGAACUAAAUUUAAACAUUUAUUAAAAGUUUACGAACGGAAUUUCACAUUUUGAUUGUUAAGAUGCAUGAGUGAGUUAUGUUAAAAUAAUCACACAAUAUAUUGAUAGCUUUAAAAAUGGGCUUUCUCUUGGUGAUGACGUUGAUCCAUAUAGAGAAAUUAAUGAGAGGGUUUAUUUGGCCUAACUAAAUGGGAGGCUAUAUCAAUGGGAGGUUUUUCAUUGUAACAUUCCCUUGUGCUUGGAAUUUGUUUUUUAGUAAAGGAUUUUAUUAGCGUAAUAAUAGUCUUUGGGUUAUUAUGUGAAUAACAAUUUAUUGUGAGUCACAAAUUUUUUAAAGUAAUGAACCCCAUAAUAAUUUCAAUUAUUUGUUACUUGAUUUUUUGUAGUUUAGAAUAAAAAUUAUCACCAAGUUAUUUCUUUUUAACAAAUAUAUUGCUCUAACUGUUGUUUUCAAUUAAGUUUGCAUCGGAGAAGAGAUUAUUUUGUUUUGCUACGCUUGUCGGAUAUUGCACAGGAUAUUGUCAUUUUCUUAGCACUAGCAACGUUGCGUUCAGACAAGGCGGCAUGGAAUUAUUUGCUCAGCUGCACAUCACACGACCAUACAUUCAUGGACUGUUCCUCAGGAAAGCAUAUAGACAUGUGGCAGAUGCAGAACAUUUCACGAGAUUAAAAAAAAGAAAAUAAUUUUUAAAAAACAAUACUUUCGACUUCAAAACGUGCCAAUCGAACGCCUGCUACUCCCGCCUAUAAAGCUCGGCUCACCCAACGGCUUCGUUGUCGUCUCGAACUGUCCAUUCUCCAUUCUCUGUUCUUGCAUCGACCUCGAGCUAGACGAUGGUGGCAAUGGCGUCGUCAGACGGUGAGGAGGAUCAAGUUGGGGUCGUAGGGUCUCAAGGUCUCGGCGCAGGGGCUGGGCUUGCAUGGGCAUGUUGGAAGAUAUGCGGAUUGCCUGAUUUGAUUUGAUCUUAAUUGAUCAUGAUUAAUCACGAUCUUCAUGUAUAUGUAAAUUAAAAAUUAGAUCUAGAUCUCGAUUGAUAAUCCAGAUCAUUUACUUCCUUAUUCAAGAUAGAGCUUGUAUUAUAUCUCUGCAAAAUUGUACAUUCAGAUUGUAAUAGUGAUAAUACAGAAAAAUCUCCCCACAUCGAUUCCCAUUUUCCUCUCCAAACUUCAUCCGUUCUUCCUUCACUCUUGCCUUCUUUCAUGGUAUCAGAGCAGCUUUGAUCUCUGACUCGCUUCCGUUCCAAACCACUGCUGAAGAAAAUUCUCAACCUGCAAAAGGGUUGAUCUUUCGGCAUUAGGCAUACUCUCGAAGGAAGAAAUUUAAAUUAUCUUACUAUGGCCUCUCCGCAGGACUCCAGUCUGGCUGCUGACGACAGGACCACCGAAGAAAGUAGUCCUCAAGCUCCACAGAUCCAGAAUCUCCCUGCAGUAAUACCAGUAUCCACCCAACCCCAGCAGUGGCGGCCCACGCAGGCUCAGUUUCAAUUGGGGCAACCCACGACGGGUCAACCAUACUAGUGGAUCCCCUAUCCACUCUAUUUUGGGCCAAGCCCAAAUUUCUCAUCGCCUUUUUUCGUGGGCCACCAGAAUCACAAUGGAGGCCCGCCAGCCACGAAUGGGGCAAGCCCAUCCAUCGCGAGAGAGCAGACGGGCGGUUCAAGCGAAUCGGGUACGGGGCAUAAUCCCUACCCGGGACAUGUCAAUGCGGGGUAUCUAGUUGGAUUGAGCGAAUCGGGUCAAGGGACGAAUCCCUACCCGAAUUUCGCACCGGGUUUUCUGUCCAUUCCAGCGGCGGCGUUCACUGGGCGACUAGAAAUAGGCGAUCCUCUGUUUGUCUCCACCGCUGACGGAUCGGAGCUUUGACUGAUAAACCAGCAACUAACCGGACUAGAGACCUAUUCGAAGUGGUCACAGGAGCUCCGGCGGGCAUUGGUGACAAAAGACAAAGACGGAUUUCUCGAUGGGACAAUUUCCAUCCCCUCCGAUGAACGCCUAGCCGGACACUGGCGGAAAUGCAAUCAACUCGUCCGAAUGUGGAUCAGAAAUUGCAUAUCCCCAGAAGUCAUGGCUGGGCUUCCACCCACAGAGGAUGCCAAAACCAUGUGGGAAAACAUUCGAGAAAUAUACGGUAAAAUGGAUCAAGCAAAAGUUUUUAAUCUUAUGCAGGAAAUUAGCGAACUCAAACAGGGAAAUUCGACGGUCACGGCCUGCUUCAACAGGCUAUCGUCCCUCCUGAAUCAACUCGAAGCAGUAGAAGAAAAGCUCGAAGGGCCAGAAUCUACCCUCAAGCAGUACAAACAAAUCAAAGAGAGAGAAAAAGCCACGCGAUUCUUGCUGAUUUUAAACGAAUCGUACCUCACGUUUCGGUCACAGAUCCUUGUCAUGGAUCCCAUGCCACCGAUCGGACGUAUUUACAAACUGGCGAUGCAGGAGGAGAGUCAGCGACUCACAAUCACGAACAACGGUGAGAGCAUCGCUCUGGCUGCCCGCGGAGAGGGGAGAACCCUAACCCUAGCUCGUGAAAAUGAAAAGAAAAGCCCUUUAGGGUUCGACGAGCUCGAUUCGCGCGGGCUUAAAAGGGAUGGGAUGAACGGCCAGGAUUACAUGCAAGGAUCGAGCGGCUUAGAUUACUCCCGAAAAUAUGACGGCCCAGAUUACGCAUGGAGAUCCGACGGUCGUCAAGGAAUCGAAAUUGCGCCUGGAUUGGACGGUGGACAGCAGAUCGCGAUCAAAGGAACGGACGGCCAGAUCUUCACCACGUCAUCAAAGAAUUUCGCAAAUUUUUUUAAAGGAAAGGGGUAAAUUUUUUUGCGAUUAUUGCAAACGUACUAAUCAUACCAUUGACAGUUGCUGGAAAUUACACGGGAAGCCGGGAGAAAAGGAGAAAAAAAUUUCCACAGCUUAUCAAGUCACUGGACCAGCUGGUCCAAAAAUUGACCAGCCAAUCUCAUAUGGUCAAUAUCAGCAACUCAUGCAAAAACUACAGAAGAUGGAAAUUUCCAACAAAGGGGGCAAUUUCUCAGGUAUUUCACAUUGCCUAAUUAAUUCCAUUUCCAGGAAGGCGUGGAUUAUAAUUCUGGGGCAAGUGACCAUAUUAUACGCGACAAGGGAUUUUUUUUUCAAAUAUAAAUGAAAGUUUGAAUUUUCCUGUCUCCGUACAAUUACCCAACGGAAAUGUUACUCAUGUCAAAGUGAUAGGAACAGUGAAUCUCAGUCCUCAGAUUAUUCUCUAGAAUGUGCUAUAUGUCCCAGAAUUCCAAUUCAACCUCAUAUCUGUGUCUCAAGUCUGCAAAGAGAACUCAUGCCGGGUAAUAUUCAAUGCUGACACAUGUUUAUUUCAGGCCCUUUCGACUGGAAGACAGAUGGACUUGGGUAAUCUUUCUGAAGGACUCUAUUUCUGGACGAGUUUUCCAAGUAAUUUCAAUUUUCCAUGCAAUUCCUUGAAUAAAAAAUCAUUGUGUAAUUCAACUGCCAAUGAUAGAAAUUUGACUAUGCAUAUGAGAUUGGGUCACAGUGCUUCAUUUUCAUAUCAUGAAUGUCUUAUAUGUCCCCUUGCAAAGCAAUCUCGCACACCAUUUUCUUCUAGUACUUCACGGACUAGUCAAAUAUUUGCAUUACUUCACGUGGACAUUUGGGGACCUUAUCAUACAGUCAAUCAUGAUGGCUCCCGUUAUUUUCUUACGAUAGUAGAUGACUAUUCUCGGGCAACAUGGAUCUUCCUAAUACAAUAAAAAAAUUAGGUCUAUUCUCACCUGAAAAAUUUCAUUAUGCUAUCUAAGAACCAAUUCAGGAAAUCCAUUCAGCGGAUUCGCACAGAUAACGGGAGAGAAUUCUUCAGUCAUGAAUGCUCCCAGUUAUUCAAUUCUCAUGGUAUUCGACACGAAAGUUCCUGCAUUUACUCACCACAACAAAAUGGAGUGGUUGAAAGAAAGCAUCGCCAUCUACUGGAAGUGGCUCGUGCCUUGAAAUUUCAAGCAUCAAUUCCAGAAAGAUAUUGGGGUGACUGUGUCACCAUAGCAGCUUAUCUUAUUAAUAGAAUGCCUACUCGGAUUCUUAAUGGACAGAUGCCAUUCGAGCUGUUAUUUGGGAAGAAACCGGACUUGAAUCAUCUCAAGAUCUUCGGAUGUCUCUGCUAUGCUGCAAUCAUGGGGCCUCGAGAUAAAAUGAGCCCAUGUGCGCGGCGAUGCGUCUUUAUGGGAUAUCCCAAUCUCCAGAAGGGGUAUCGGGUGCUUGAGAUUUCCACAGGAGAAUUCAUAGUAAGUCAUGAUGUCAUUUUCCAUGAAACUACUUUUCCAUUUUAUGAAGGGGAAUCUUCACAUGGAGAUCCAAAGAUAACUUCCAGCCAUCAUAAUUUUCUCAAUGAUGAAGCACCAUACCGGGAUCUUUCCUAUGUACCAAUAGUACAGCCGAGGGAUCCUAUUCUUCCUACAGUCCCAGUUCUACAAGAUUCUAAUGGAAAUUCGAAUUCUUCAGAACAUAUUCAGGGAGAUAUCUUGGAGGAACCCAUUGCUGAUGCAGAAGUUGAUGACACUACAACAACUUCAUUACCAGCAACAUCACAGCCCACCACCGAAGCUGGACAUCCUAGGAGGUCUGAACGAGCUACAAGACCACCAACCCGGACGAAAGAUUAUGUCUGUACUACUCACAACUCUCCAAGUAUUCAGUAUCCAGUCUCUUCAUAUGUUUCCUUUGAUAGAUUGUCUCAAGAACAUAGAUGUUGUAUUAGUCGAUUGUUUGAAGAGAAAGAACCGUCCAGUUAUAAAGAAGCCUCCAAUAACCCAAAAUGGCAAGAGACCAUGAAGGCAGAAUUGAAGGCCCUUACUGAUAAUCAUACAUGGGAUCUUGUUCCAUUACCAGCUCAUCGUAAACCAAUUGGAUGCAAAUGGGUUUACAAAAUCAAGUAUCGGGCUGAUGGCUCCAUUGAACGGUACAAGGCAAGAUUGGUAGCUAAGGGGUUCACCCAAAGAGAAGGUUUUGACUACCACGAGACGUUCUCACCAGUUGCCAAAGAUGUUACAGUCCGUUCAUUCUUAGCUGUUGCUGCCAUCAAUGACUGGCACCUACACCAGAUGGAUGUCCAUAAUGCUUUUCUCCAUGGCAAUCUAGAUGAAGAGAUCUACAUGAAUAUUCCUCAAGGCAUACAGAGACAGGGGGAUAAUAAGGUGUGUCGUCUCCGUAAAUCCCUUUAUGGAUUAAAACAGGCAUCCGGACAAUGGUAUGCUAAAUUUGCCAGUGCUCUUACAACAGCAGGCUUCAAGCAAUCCAAGCAUGAUUAUGCUCUGUUCUAAAAAACUAAAGGUAUGUCAUCUAUCUAUUUGAUGAUUUAUGUCGAUGACAUACUUGUUAUGGGAAAUGAUAGAGCCUCUAUAGAGAAUUUCAAGGAAUAUUUGCAUGCUACCUUCCAUAUUAAAGACUUAGGAGCACCAAAAUAUUUCCUUGGAAUCGAAGUUGCUCGAUCUGACAAGGGAAUUUCCCUUAGUCAGCGGAAGUUCAUUCUAGAAAUCAUAUCAGAAGUAGGUCUAUUAGGAUGCAAGCUAGCUGUAAUUCCUAUAGAGCAAAACACUAAGUUGACCAUCGCAGACUAUGAUAAGGGAAUAUUUCGAAAUGAUGAUUCCUUACUCAGUGAUCCGUCAGGCUAUCAAAGACUUGUUGGGAAACUUAUAUACCUGACAAUGACUAGACCUGAUAUCUUAUAUGCGGUUCAGACACUUAGCCAGUUUAUGCAUCAACCAAAGCGUUCUCAUUUGGAUGCAGCCUUAAAGGUCGUUAAAUAUCUCAAGAAAUGUCCGGGGCUAGGGAUACUUCUCUCUAAGGAAUGUGACAUGAGGAUGACAGCAUAUUGUGAUGCAGACUAUGCAACAUGUCCGAUUAGUCGAAGAUCUGUUACUGGAUAUUGCAUUAAAUUGGGAGGAUCUCUUCUAUCUUGGAAAACCAAGAAACAAGCUACUGUGUCUCUGUCCUCAGCCGAAGCAGAAUAUCGAGCUGUGGCCAAGGCCACUUGUCAAGUAGUUUGGAUGCGAGGAUUACUCAAGGAUCUUGGAGUAGAAGUGCAAGGACCCACAAGGUUAUAUUGUGAUAAUGAUACAGCUCUUAAACUUGCAACUAAUCCUAUAGUACAUGAAAGAACCAAGCAUAUAGAAGUGGAUUGUCACUUCACACGGGAAAAGAUCCAGGAAGGAGUAAUUGAGACGAGGAAUUUGGACAACGGAGCAACCAGUAGACUUGUUCACCAAGCCCCUAUGUCAGAGGCAACAUGCAUAUCUAUUAAAAAAGCUAGGCGUCUUGGACAUCUACAAGCCACCAGCUUGAGGGGGAGUGUUGGAAGAUAUGUGGAUUGCCUGAUUUGAUUUGAUCUUAAUUGAUCAUGAUUAAUCACGAUCUUCAUGUAUAUGUAAAUUAAAAAUUAGAUCUAGAUCUAGAUUGAUAGUCUAGAUCAUUUACUUCCUUAUUCAAGAUAGAGCUUGUAUUAUAUCUCUGCAGAAUUGUACAUUCAGAUUGUAAUAGUGAUAAUACAGAAAAAUCUCCCCACAUCGAUUCCCAUUUUCCUCUCUAAACUUCAUCCGUUCUUCCUUCACUCUUGCCUUCUUUCAGGGCAUAUCUACUUUGCCGGCCCUCCCAAGCCCAACCCCGACACGAUCGAGCUUGUCCACCACGCCGUUGAAUCUGGCGUUGCCUUCCUCGACACCUCCGACAUCUAUGGCCUUAACGCCAAGGAAGUCCUCCUUGGAAAGGUCGGUAUUUAUUUUGUAGAUAUAAUUGAAGAUCUUGAUCGUGACGCCAAUCCUAAUUGCGGACUAAUUGAUUUGGUCAAUUUGUGAUUGUUUAGUGAAUAUGGAAAUUUUUGUAAUUCUUUAUAUAUUAUUUCAUUUUUUCUCUUUCAUUCUUACACUAUAAAUAGACCAAUGAACUAAUAUACAGAUCAAUCAAUAUACAACAAAAUUUUCUUCAUUUUCUCUUUUGUUUUCUAUUAUGUUAUCAGUGUCAUUCUUCCUCGCCUAGCUUCCCAUAUCUUAGAGUUGCCUUUCUUUUUUUCUUUGUUUUUUUUUUUUUUUUGGUUAUUGCAAGUCCUCAUCCUGCAAUACAAAUCAGCAAAUCGAUUAGGAAUUCAAUUUUUUUUUUCAAUACCAAGGCAAAAAAUAAGAACACUGAGAGCUCCAUGAUAGAGGAGACACCUACCUCACCUCAAAAUCAAGCCCCAUCGCCGUCGGAUUCGAUUAUGAUUUGGGACAAUAUAUUUUAAUCAUUUCGAGAUAAUCUUUAACUGAUCAUGCUCUUCCAGAUACACAGCAAUUGCGCACUUCCAAAUGCUUAUUAUGUCAAGUAACAUGACAAUCUGAUGGCAUGCAACGCAACCAAUUUUGCACUCGUUGAUGUAGAAUUUGGCGUUAAAAGGAAAAUGAUGGUUGCUCGUAUGCUCUCUGCUUAGACAUUGCUUUAUGUUAUGAAGUACCUACCAAGGCUGCGGCCAGAGAACUUGGCUAAUGCAAAGUUAUUCGACCAAGUGAAUGAAAUUGCACAAAGAAAGGGAUGCACCCCAUUGCAGUUAACCCUCGCCUGGGUACACCACUGGAGUGAUGACGUUUGCCCGAUUACCGGCACGAUCAAGAUCGAGAAUUUCAACCAGAACAUUGGAGCUCUGUCAGUGAAGCUUUCGCCAGAAGAGAUGGCCAAGCUCAAAUCGAUUGCUUAUACGGACAAUGUCAGGCGUGAGAAUUAAAACCACAUUUGAUACUAAAUUAUGCCUAGGUAGGAAUUCAAAACUCCACCUCCCGCUUUUCAUGUGGGAAGGUUGGCCCCACCUCGCGCUUAUGGAAAGAGUAAUCACGAAGACAUCACAAUAGUUCAAUUGACGUGAGCAGGUACGUCUUCCCUACAUGGUAAGGGUCGUCACUGGGCGUGCAAUUGACGUAAGCACGUGCGUCUUCACAGCCACUACCGCUCCCCUCCUACUCAUCGUAGCUUCUGCCACUACCCUCCUAUAAAUCUCGGCUCGCCCGACGACUUCGCCAUCGUCUCGGUGCAGUGCAGGGAACGAUCGAGCUCGAGCUAGACUACGGCAAUGGCGGCAUCGACGACGACGGUGAGGAGGAUCAAGCUGGGGUCGCAGGGCCUGGAGGUGUCGGCGCAGGGGCUGGGCUGCAUGAGCAUGUCCGCCUUCUACGGCCCUCCCAAGUCCGAGCCCGACAUGAUCGCCCUCAUCCACCACGCCGUCGGCUCCGGCGUCACCUUCCUCGACACCUCCGACUUCUACGGUCCUCACACCAACGAAAUCCUCCUCGGAAAGGUCGUUCUCUCAGUCUCUCUUUUGCCUCUGCAUGAAUUAUAUAUGCUUAUGGUUUUACGGAACUUAGCUUCAUCGAGCAGGAUGCUCUGAUCCUGCGCCUUGGUUUUCUGAUUUCGGGGUUGAUUUUGAGCAGGCACUGAAGGGAGGGGUGAGGCAGAAGGUGGAAUUGGCGACCAAGUUCGGAAUCAGAUUGGCGGACGGGAAGAGGGAGAUCCAGGGCGAUCCGGCGUACGUGAGGGCUGCUUGCGAGGCCAGCUUGAAGCGGCUCGACAUCGAUUGCAUCGACCUCUACUACCAGCACCGUAUCGACACUCGCGUCCCCAUUGAAGUCACUGUAUGGAUCCCUUAUCAAACUUUCACCUCGCUUGAGACUUUCUCUGAGCCAUACGAUGCAUCGUCAUGUUGUUACAAGUUUGUUGAAUUUUGUUAAAUGACACUUAAGUUCAGCUGAUAGCAGAGUUCAAGAUGCGGCACGGUGUUGUUCAAGGGUUGUGGAAUUUAGUAGUUUAGUGGCUUGAGUUUUCGUUUUGUGGGAAUCUUUUACAAGUUAAGGGUCAACAAGCAUGGAAAUUAUUCGAAAUCUUCCUUUGAGAUGAAAGUGCUCCGGGGUUCAUCCUGAAUUUAUAUACGGGAAUCACAUAUAAAGUUGUUCCUGGACUUUAUACGGAGACAUUUGAUUCUUGACAUAUUGUGAAAUAUGACAAGUACUUGGAAUACUUCUUUUAUUUGCUCUCUUCUGUGAGAGAUUCAAGAAAUCUACCUCCGUUAACUCAAUUCCUUGUGGGUUUUUUGUCGCAUUGAGAUGCAUGAUAAUUGAGGGAUCUAGACACAAAAAGCUAAUGACAAAAAUAAUUUUCUGGAUCUUAACAUGUAAGAUCUUGAUGUUGUUGUUCUGUCAUGUGAAUAUGCACAGAUCGGAGAGCUAAAGAAGCUCGUUGAAGAGGGUAAGAUAAAGUACAUCGGUUUAUCCGAGGCCUCUGCAUCAACAAUCAGAAGAGCACAUGCUGUUCAUCCCAUCACAGCAGUGCAAUUGGAGUGGUCGCUUUGGUCCAGAGAUGUGGAGGCGGACAUCGUUCCAACGUGCAGGUAGGAUAUCACUCCGUUAAUUGUUUAUGCAGCAACAACAGCUUCCUUCUGACUCUGCUUUUCCUUUAAAAUGUUGACUAGGGAGCUUGGCAUUGGAAUUGUUGCCUACAGUCCUUUAGGACGAGGAUUCUUUUCUGUUGGCUCCAAGUUGGCGGAGAAUUUCUCAAAGGAUGACUUCAGACAGGUCUGUUUCUGCUGGUCGACAUAAUUAGAUGCUCACAGUGACUGUCAUUCUCAUUGAAGUGCUGGAAACCUGUUCUUGUGGUAUAAAGAAAAGUUUCUGGAUGGGAUGAAUAAAACUUGGUGACACAAAUGCAUCACGUUCUUAUAUGUCUUCAAUCCAGCACUCGCCAGACAUACUACCUCUCUCGAUUCUAGAUAAAUGUAAAAUCACAAGUAAUGGCUUUAGUGAGCCUGAAAGAGGUAGGUUCCCGGAUUCUCAUUCUUUUGGGAAUGAAUACAUAUAGGUUUAUAUGUAAGUUGCUCUGUUUCCCAGCCUUCCCAACAUUUGCUUAUCACUAUCCUUUCCCCACUUUCCACCCACCCUUUUUCUCUCAUCUUUCUUCACAAGAUUAGCGAUAUUUCCUCGAAAUAACUGACGCCAGUAUCGGGCUCUGGCCUUCCGUCCUUUUUCAUUCUCAUCUUUCUUCACAAGAUAAACUAUAUCUUGACACAACCAUUUCUUGAGUGAGGACUCACGACACCCUUCUUAUGAGAGUUUUGGAUCAAGUUCCCAUCUGACAUAAAGCCAAUUGUGUAUUACUCCCUGCCAUUAGCGUUUGACUAGCGAUAGCGCUGGGCAAGUGAAGUAGCUAUUUUUCUUUGUAGCUAAAAGAGCUCUGCGUCUGAUAACAUUCUUCUACACAUCAUCUACAUUUCUGAUUUUUUAUUUUAUGUGUGACUAAUGGUAUCAUCACACGUACAAAACUUAGAUUGUCGAGUUUGUUUCUGUUUUCACAUCCUACAUCAAGCCCAUCAGCCUUGUGUGGUAGUUGCUAGAUCACUUCGCUUGACGUUUCUAAUGCUUAUGAUUUGGGACAUGAUAUUUUAAUCAUUUCAAGAUUAUUUAUAACUGAUCAUGCUUAUCCAGAUAGACAACGAUUGCACACUUCUAAAUGCUUAUUAUGUCAAGUAACAAGACAAUCUGAUGGCAUGCAAUGCAACCACUUUUGCACUUGUUGCUGUAGAAUUUAGCCUUAAAAGGAAAAUGAUAAUUGCAAUUGCUUUCUGCUGAGACAUUGCUCUAUGUUAUGCAGUAUCAUCCAAGGUUCCAGCCAGAGAACUUGGCUCACAACACGAAGUUAUUUGACCGAGUGAAUGAAAUUGCGCAAAGAAAGGGAUGCACCCCAUCUCAGUUAGCCCUGGCCUGGGUACACCACCAUGGUGACGACAUUUGCCCGAUUCCCGGCACAACCAAGAUCGAGAAUUUCAACCAGAACAUUGGAGCUCUGUCAGUGAAGCUUACACAGGAAGAGAUGGCCGAGCUUGAAUUGAUUGCUUCUGCGGACAAUGUCAAGGGUGGCAGGUAUGAUGGAAGCAUAUCUACAUGGGAAAACUCCGACACUCCACCCCUUUCUUCUUGGAAACCUGCCUAGAAGCGUGUCUGCUUCUGUUGCUGCAUCUUUGAUGUGCAGAGUUUGAGCAUUUGCCGCUGAAGUAAUUUGAGUUGAUGUUGUGUGGCUGUUAUAAGUAUGUGUAAUAAGAGAGUGACUGUUUUCAUUUUGUACAUGUGACAUUCACUAUGAGAAGAUUAUGGAUGUGUACUAACCUUACUGGGGAAAGAUCACUCGAUAAACACGAGAGCGAGUUGAAUAUGAACUGAGCCUGCCUUGUCGACUUUAUGGGGUGACUUUUAGAAUCAAUUGGGAUUUUGAAGAAUUCAAACUCAGUCGUACAUACCGCUGGAAAUAUGGCUUCGAAAUUGGGUAGAACAAUGAAAUCGGAUCGAGUAAAAUAACUCGGACUUUGAGGCGCGAUAUCACUUUCUUUAAGGAUUUAUUUACCCCACAACGUUGCUAAUGGUCACCAGCAAAAAUCCUCCAGGAUACAACAAAGUCUCGGAUGAGAAUACUAGAUAGCAAUUCAAGUAUUUCUCCAGGGUCUCUCUAAGAAACAAUCGAAAAAUUGGAUGCUGUUUUUCAGAAAGGAAUACUCGAAAAUGACACUCUUUUUCUUUCCGAAAAUGAUAGAUAUAUAUAUGAAACAGUCUUGCNNNNNNNNNNNNNNNNNNNNNNNNNNNNNNNNNNNNNNNNNNNNNNNNNNNNNNNNNNNNNNNNNNNNNNNNNNNNNNNNNNNNNNNNNNNNNNNNNNNNUUUUUUUUUUUUAUUUCUUAUUUUUGUUCCAAAGUUGCUCUCACAAUAAAAAAAAAAAAGACCAGAAUAAAAGUAUAAACAAAUGAGUUUCUGUUCUUUUUUGGUUCUCUAGAACAAAAUAAUAAAAAUUUAUAUUUCGGGAAAAAAAAUAAUUUUAAAUGAACACACCCUAAGAUAUCUUUUGUAUUCCGGGGAAGUAGUUCAAUUGACGUGAGCCCGUGCGUCUUCCCUACAUGGGAAGGGUCGUCGCUGGGUCUCAUCUGACCUAAGCAAGCGCGUCUUCACAGCUAUUACCGCUCCCCUCCUACACUUCGUAGCUACCGCCACUCCCCUCCUAUAAAUCUCGGCUCGCCCGACGCCUUCGCCAUCGUCUCGGUGCAGUGCAGGGAACGAGCGAGCUCGAGCUAGACGACGGCAAUGGCGGCUUCGACGACGACGGUGAGGAGGAUCAAGCUGGGGUCGCAGGGCCUCGAGGUGUCGGCGCAGGGGCUGGGCUGCAUGAGCAUGUCCGCCUUCUACGGCCCUCCCAAGUCCGAGCCCGACAUGAUCGCCCUCAUCCACCACGCCGUCGGCUCCGGCGUCACCUUCCUCGACACCUCCGACGUCUACGGUCCUCACACCAACGAAAUCCUCCUCGGAAAGGUCGUUCUCUCAGUCUCUGUUUUGCGUCCGCAUGAAUUAUAUGUGCUUAUAGUGUUACGGAAUUUGGCUUCAUCGAGCAGAGUGCUCUGAUCCCGCGCCUUGGUUUUCUGAUUUCGGGGUUGAUUUUGAGCAGGCACUGAAGGGAGGGGUGAGGCAGAAGGUGGAAUUGGCGACCAAGUUCGGAAUCAGCUUCGCGGACGGGAAGAGGGAGGUCCGGGGCGAUCCGGCGUACGUGAGGGCGGCUUGCGAGGCCAGCUUGAAGCGGCUUGACAUCGAUUGCAUCGACCUCUACUACCAACAUCGCAUCGACACUCGCGUCCCCAUCGAAGUCACUGUAUGGAUCCCCCAUCAAACUUUCACCUCGCUUGAGACUUUCUCCGAGCCAUAUGAUUAGUUGCUAAGUUAGAUUGGUGUUGAUGAUGCAUCGUCAUGUUGUUACAAGUUUGUUGAAAUUUGUUAAAUGACACUUAAGUUCGGCUGAUAGCAGAGUUCAAGAUGCGGCACGUUGUUGUUCAAGGGGUUGUGGAAUUUAGUAGUUUAGUGGCUUGAGUUUUCGUUUUGUGGGCAUCUUUUACAAGUUAAGGGUCAACAAGCAUGAAAAUUAUUCAAAAUCUUCCUUUGAGAUGAAAGUGCUCCAGGGUUCAUCCAGAAUUUAUAUACGGGAAUCACAUAUAAAGUUGUUCCUGGACUUUAUGUGGAGACAUUUGAUUCUUAACAUAUUGUGAAAUAUGUCGAGUACUUGGAAUACUUAUUUUAUUUGCUCUCUUCUGUGAGAGAUUCAAGAAAUCUACCUCCGUUAACUCAAUACCUUGUGACUUUUUUGUCGCAUUGAGAUGCAUGAUAAUAGAGGGAUCUAGACGCAUAAAAAGCUAAUGACAUGCAUAAUUUUCUGGAUCUUAACAUGUAAGAUCUUGAUGUUGUUGUUCUGUCAUGUGAAUAUGCACAGAUCGGAGAGCUAAAGAAGCUCGUUGAAGAAGGUAAGAUAAAGUACAUCGGUUUAUCCGAGGCCUCUGCAUCAACAAUCAGAAGAGCACAUGCUGUUCAUCCCAUCACAGCAGUGCAAUUGGAGUGGUCGCUUUGGUCAAGAGAUGUGGAGGCAGAGAUCGUUCCAACGUGCAGGUAGGAUAUCACUCUGUUAAUUGUUUAUGCAGCAACAACAGCUUCCUUCUGACUCUGCUUUUCCUUUAAAAUGCUGACUAGGGAGCUUGGCAUUGGAAUUGUUGCCUACAGUCCUUUAGGACGAGGAUUCUUUUCUGUUGGCUCCAAGUUGGUGGAGAAUAUCUCUAAGGAUGACUUCAGACAGGUCUGUUCCUGCUUGUCAACAUAAUUAGAUGCUUACAUCAACUGUCAUUCUUAUUGAAGUGCUGGAAACCUGUUCUUGUGGUAUAAAGAAAAAGUAUCUGGAUGGGAUGAAUAAAACUUGGUGACACGAAUGCUUUGUGUUCUUAUAUGUCUUUAAUCCAGCACUUGCCAGACAUCCCACCUCUCUUGAUUCUAGAUAAAUGUAAAAUCACAAGUAAUGGCUUUAAUGAGCCUGAAAGAGGCAGUUUUCUGGAUUCUCGUGCUUUUGGGAAUGAAUACAUAUAGGUUUAUUUGUAAGUUGCUCUGUUUCCCAGCCUUCCCACCAUUUGCUAAUCACUAUCCUCUCCCCACUUUCCACCCACCCUUUUUCUCUCAUCUUUCUUCACAAGAUUAGCGAUAUUUCCUCAAAAUAGCUGACGCCAGUAGCGGGCUUUGGCCCUCCGUCCUUUUUCAUUCUCAUCUUUCUUCACAAGAUAAACUAUAUCUUGACACAACCAUUUCUUGAGUAAGGACUCCUAGCACCCUUCUUAUGAGAGUUUUGGAUCAAGUUCCCAUCUGACAUAAAGCCAAUUGAGUAUUACUCCCCGCCAUUAGCAUUUGACUAGCGAUAGUGCUGGGCAAGUGAAGUAGCUAUUUUUCUUUGUAGCUAAAAGAGCUCUGCGUCUGAUAACAUUCUUCUACACAUCAUCUACAUUUCUGAUAUUUAUUUUAUGUGUGACUAAUGGUAUCAUCACACAUACAAAACUUAGAUUGUCGAGUUUGUUUCUGUUUUCACAUCCUACAUCAAACCCAUCAGCCUUGUGUGGUAGUUUCUAGAUCACUUCGCUUGACGUUUCUAAUGCUUAUGAUUUGGGACAAGAUAUUUUAAUCAUGUCAAGAUAAUUUAUAACUGAUCAUGCUUUUCCAGAUACACAACGAUUGCGCACUUCUAAUGCUUAUUAUGUCAAGUAACAAGACAAUCCGAUGGCAUGCAAUGCAACCACUUUUGCACUCGUUGCUGUAGAAUCUAGCCUUAAAAGGAAAAUGAUAAUUGCUCAUAUGCUCUCUGCUGAGACAUUGCUCUAUGUUAUGCAGUAUCUACCAAGGUUCCGGCCAGAGAACUUGGCUCACAACACGAAGUUAUUUGACCGAGUGAAUGAAAUUGCGCAAAGAAAGGGAUGCACCACAUCGCAGUUAGCCCUGGCCUGGGUAUACCACCAGCGUGAUGAUGUUUGCCCAAUUCCCGGCACGACCAAGAUCGAGAAUUUCAACCAGAACACUGGAGCUAUGUCAGUGAAGCUUACACCGGAAGAGAUGGCCGAGCUUGAAUCGAUUGCUUCUGCGGACAAUGUCAAGGGUGGCAGGUACGAUGGAAGCAUGUCUACAUGGGAAAACUCCGACACUCCACCCCUUUCUUCUUGGAAACCUGCCUAGAAGCGUGUCUGCUUCUGUUGCUGCAUCUUUGAUGUGCAGAGUUUGAGCAUUUGCCGCUGAAGUAAUUUGAGUUUAUGUUAUGUGGCUGUUAUAAGUACGUGUAAUAAGAGAGUGACUGUUUUCAUUUUGUACAUGUGAUAUUCACUAUGAGAAGAUUAUGGAUGUGUACUAACCUUACUGGGGAAAGAGCACUCGAUAAACACGAGAGCGAGUUGAAUACGAACUGAGCCCGCCGUGCCGACUUUAUUGGGGUGACUUUUAGAAACU
rnacentral:lncRNA from 1 species